rnacentral:lncRNA from 1 species
UUUUUUUUUUUUUUUAAUAAUUUUUGUUGUUGUAGUGGUUGUCUUGAGUAAAAAGGAAAAUCUAAGGUAAACCCAAUUGGUAAAUGUUUCACUUUGGGUGGGUUACUUGCACAAAGUAUUGUCAAUUAAAAGAGGGUAGGAUGGACCUCGAUCGACGCUGGAGAUGGUGGUCAAGUGGUGGGUAGGAUGGACCUCAAUCGACAGAGACGGGGACAAAGUGUAAGUUCAGGAGAAAGAGAUUAUGAGGGAGAAGUUGAGAGGUCUGAAAGUCUGGAAGUCUGGAGAAUUCUACAUAACCUAAGAAAUAAACGGUGGAAAUUUAAUCUCCCUAUAAUGAACGAUGGAAACAAUUAGGGUCGAGGGCCCAUUUUCUCUUAAAUUUGUACCAGCCCCAACCCCGUUUUGAAUUUGCAAUAUAUGUACCCACCCCGUACCCGUCCUGACCCGCAGGUCCAAGACCUGUUUGCCCAACCCUAGCCAACAUCAUUAAUUCAAUACUUAAUCAAAAUUAAUUGUAAAAGCUAAGUUUUUUUUUUUAAUAAUAUUUUUUGUUGUUGUAGUGGUUGUCUUGAGUAAAAAGGAAAAUCAAAGGUAAACCCAUUUGGUAAAUGUUUCACUUUGGGUGGGUUACGUGCACAAAGUAUUGUCAAUUAAAAGAGGGAAUUAGGGGAGAAAAUAAGGAAUUGAAGUUGUGAGCCUCCUGAAUUUCUUUUCUUUGAAGAAACUUAGAAAAUGAGAAUAUACGGUUUGCCAACAUGUUGAAAGAGAAGGCCACAUUGGUAGGUAGGUGAAACCAUACUUCCUUUUUCACAAAUGAAAAAUCAUCUUGACUUGCUACUUAGUAUUACGGUUUAGUGGUAUUCAUCUUCACUUGUAAGUGAGAGGUCUUAGGUUCGAUUCUCGCCAAAUGCGAAUUUGAAUCACAUUAUUGCUAGCAUAUUGUGAGAGUUAGUAGCCCACUUCCCCCCAUUAAUGUAUAUAGUAUCAUUUGUUAAAAAAAAUAAAAUUAUCAUGACUCAUAUAUUUUCUUGAAUUGUUUGGAUUCAACACUAAGGUUCAAGGCUUGUAGAAAGGCUAGCAAUUUUCACACUCUCGUGUUUUCUUCUGCACUUCUCUCAUUCUUUCUACAAUACUUCUCUUUUGAUUUACUCAAUACAAAGAUUGAAAAUAAUAAUAAUAAUAAACAGACAAAAAGAGAGUGCGAAAAUUACUUUCGUAAUUGGGAAUUUUGGGGCACGUACCGUUGUAAACUUGUAACAAAAGACAAUCAUGGUUAGUUGCAUUUAGGUACGUCCGAGUAACAUUUGGUUUCUCCGACAAGCUAGCGAAGCUACCCUCUCUGUUUUUCCCCAAAUCCAUCACACAGUUUCUAGUCCUUCCCCAAAUUUCACACGAAAUCUAAUCCCAAAUAACGCCUCCUACUUAUAAAUUCUCCCUCAUUGUGUUUGAUCCAAAACCCAAGUCUUCCAUUUUACAUUGGAAGGCCUGAAAAUAUCUGCAUUUUCUCGAGUUUUUCAGCCAUGAAGUUCACAGCUCUAGCAGCAAUGAUGGCGGCCGUGACUGUCUUAGGCCUCCUCAUUGAUGGCCACGACUGCAAAAUCGUGCAGUUUAUAUUCGGGGACUCCCUCUCCGACGUUGGAAACAACAAGCGCUUGAGCAGGAGUCUCGCCCAAGCAAGCCUGCCUUGGUAUGGCAUUGAUAUGGGCAAUGGACUGCCCAAUGGCAGGUUCACUAAUGGCCGUACAGUUGCUGAUAUAAUAGGUAACAUAUGUUGCAACAGUUUUGACUCUGUGCAGGACGUCUUGUCUUUCUUAAACAUAUAGUUUUUCGUCGAGUUUAUUUUUAUGCUGAACUUGUUUGUUUAUUUAGGUGAUAACAUGGGGCUCCCAAGGCCGCCGGCGGUUCUUGAUCCGUCAUUGACCGAAGACAUGAUACUUGAAAAAGGAGUAAACUAUGCCUCUGGAGGUGGAGGGAUUUUGAAUGAAACCGGCGGCUACUUUGUAAGUUGCAACCUUAAAUGUAACAAAACCACAUGAAGAUUGAGCUUUUAAUUAAGAUUGUGCGUGAUUUGAUCAGUAUUGUGUUUGCAGAUUCAGAAGCUCUCGCUCUACAGGCAGAUCGAUCUGUUUCAAGGGACACAAACACUGAUCAAAAGCAAAAUUGGCGCAAACGCAGCGGAGAAAUUCUUCCAAGACGCUCGUUAUGUGGUCGCUUUAGGAAGCAACGACUUCAUUAACAACUACUUGAUGCCUCUUUACAGAGAUUCGUGGAGUUACAACGAUCAAACAUUCAUCGAAUACCUAAUGGGAACUCUAGAAAGACAACUUAAGGUUAGAAUAUCAGUUAUUUUUAUUUAUUUUUUAUCAAUUUCUGCCAGUCAAUCGUACGUAGUUUCCUGACUAGGGUUUUACGUGCUUUCGAGCAGCUGUUGCACAGCCUAGGGGCGAGGCAGCUGAUAGUGUUUGGGCUAGGACCAAUGGGUUGUAUUCCGCUCCAAAGGGUGCUAAGUACCUCUAACGGUUGCCAAGAGAGGUCAAACAAACUAGCUCUCAGCUUCAACAAAGCUGGAAACAAGCUAAUGGAAGACUUGUCCAGUAAGCUUCCUAACGCAACCUAUCGAUUUGGUGAUGCUUAUGAUGUCGUCAACGAUGUGAUCACCAAUCCAAUCCAAUACGGUAUGUUAAGACAGAACAGAGAACAUGUAACAUAUCUCCUCGUUUCUCUACUGACCUUUUCUGUAUUCGAAUUCCGACCAUGGCAGGAUUCACCAAUGCGGAUUCACCGUGCUGCUCAUUUGGAAUAAUUCGACCGGCUUUGACUUGUGUCCCUGCAUCAGUACUGUGCAGUGACAGAAGCAAAUACUUCUUUUGGGAUGAGUACCAUCCAUCAGACAGUGCAAACGAGCUUAUUGCCAAGGAACUCAUAAAGAAAUUCGGUUUGUCGCGCGUUGAUGAAACGGAUGGCCCUUCUCCUGCACCUGCUUUUGCUCCAUCACCAGAGGGAUAAAUGCUAGUACAAUCAAACCAGCAGUGUCUGCUGCUCAAAUUGUUUUCCUAAACAGCAACUUCUUAGUGAUCAUUACAGCUUUUCAUAUACAACUAUUGUUUGGUUUAAUAAGCUCGAAUAUAUAUGUUUCGAUCAUUCGUGAUUUUGCGUAUGAAGUUAAACAUAUUGAGCACCAAUCCUUCAUGAACUUUCGACUCACAAAUCAUUGUCAACCAUAAUAUACUCUUGAACAAUCAAGAACUGUCCUCACUAGUAAGACCUGCACCACCUCCUUAUGGAUACACAUAUACGUUGGCACUAAUGACACCUAGUGCCAUCUACUCCUGGAGUCCUACUCCGUUUACGAAAUCAGUUUGGAACCUUACAGAGGCACAAACCCUAGCUUUACGGAGUUGCUAACACUAGCCCCUUCUCAAGUUCCCGCGUACAACCCGGCUUCUUUUACAAUCUUUGCAUACACGUACUGGUUUACUGAGAUUGUUACGGCUGAGCUUGCCUAAUCUUGUGUUCAUGCUAUCGUGCACAGCGAGGGGAGGGGAGUAUUGUCUUGUGUGCCGCCUAUCUAGCUCGGGCUUUUUCAUCACCACUAGGCCGCAUACAAUCCAGCCAGUAGUCUCUGCUGCUUACAAUUGCUUUCCGAAAGCAACUGCUUAUCGAUCAUUAAAUAUCUUGCCGCAUACAACCAUCGUUUGGUCUGUGAACUUGAAUAUAUACGUUCCUAAACUUUCAUGAUUUUGCCUACGAAGUUAUACAUAUUUAGCAUCGAUCCGCCAUGAACUUUCGACUCACAUAUAAUUGUCAACCAUAAAACAUAAUUUAUACAUACUUAGUAAGAUCUGCACACCUCCUCAUGGGUACAUACAUAUACAUGUUGGCACUUAACAAAAUUAUUCCUAGUGCCAUCUACACUUGGAGUCCUAUGCCAUUUACAAAAUCAGAACGGAAACUUACAGAGGCACUAACCCUAGCUUUAUGGAGCUGUAAACACUAGCCUCUUCCCAAGUUCCCGCGUGCAACCCAGCUUCUUUUGCAAUCUUUGCAUGAACGUACCGGUUUACUGAGAUUGUUACGACUGAACUUGUCAAAUAUUGUGUUCCUGCUAUCACAACGGGGGCAGGGGAGUAUCUUCUUCUGUGCCUUCUCUCUAGCUCGGACUAUUUCAUCACCACUAGGCUGCAAAGCUGCAGGAAUUUACCAAACGUCAAAAAGAAUGCGGGUGCAGUAGUACAGAAACUUCAAAAUCUCAAACACGCGAGAUGUCAAGUCAAUUACCAGGUCUGGACGAGGAAGCUUCCUCUUUGCCAUCCUUCUUCUGAAGUUCUUGCUUCUUCUCAGCUGGCCUCUUCCUCUUUGCAUCCCGCUUCUGAAUUUCCGGCUUCUUAUCCUUCACAUCCUGUGUGAAUGAACAGAUGCACACGUCAAACAACGUCCAGUUUAAUAAUCUUACCAUACGCAAACAUACACAAACCGGUUAAUCCAUGUUAAAUCAUCGCUGUGUUGCGACUUCAUGAGUUGAACUUACCCUGUCGUCCUCCUUACCAAGCGCCUUGUUCGCCUCUCUGAUUUUUUCCAACUCCACAAGGUUUUCCACACAUUUACUUGUAAAAGUGAAUUAAGAAACCCGAAAGGUAAAAGUAACAAGCGAAAACAAAUGAACAAACAAUCAAACAGAUCACGAAGCAAAAGGAUACGUCCUGUCUUCCAAAAGUUUAAGCAAGAUCUCGGUGUUCUGUAAACACAUUCGGAAUAUAAUAACAAUAACAUCAAACAGAAAUCAAACCAAAUAAAUCAUCAACAUCCAAUUAGAACAUCCAAAUCAGAUUGAUAAAGCGACAACCUUCGCGUUUUUGGUUUCGGAAACAAGUUGGAUGAGCUUCAUGUUUUCCUGACAAGAUAUGCAUUCAGAUCAAACAAGUCACACCAACAUACUUCUUAAAGCCAAAUCCGAGAUUAAAUGACGAGGGCGGAAAAAAGAAGCAAUCUUGUAUUGUACCUCAUGGAAACUUUGAACUGAGACUGUAGCAAAGCCAUCGGUUUGAUCCCCAAUCUUAUGCUUUUCCUUCUCAUCUGCUAUCCACACUAAAAAUCUCAGUCCCUUUACGGCAAAGCAUAAUCUUACAAAAAGUUCACGGCCGUACGGGAUUUGUGUCUUGUUGAACUAAAAGUGUUUCUGACAAUUAAAAGUGCUUCUAAAUACGUCAUCUUACAAAAAGCUGAAAAUUUCUAAAGGCCAGUUUUUUACGAUUUCUUCCUGGUAGAGCUAAAAGGACUUUCUGACGACCAAAAGCGCUUCUGACUAUUUGGAAGAAAAACUUAAGGUUACUCAAACUCCUACAAAUUUUUUGCAUGAAAGGAUGAAGAGAAAACAUUUUCCAGCUGAAAUUCGGAGAAAAAGUGCAAAGAAAUCAUAGUUGCAGCAACGAAUGACUUUCAUAUGUGAACCCUAAACCACCAAACAGAAAGAAACGGAGAAAUGGGAGAAAUUGACCUUGACCAAUUUCACGUUGUAAGUCGAGUAAAUCAACUUGGUCGCCAAUUUCUUCCCCACGACUAGUUGUCUCUCUCUUUGUCCCUCCCGGUAACCGCAUACGAACCAUCUCUCUCUCUCUCUCUCUCUCUCUCUAGCUCCUCUCUAUAGCUGGUUCUUACUGGUCUGAAAUUUUAGAAAUUAGAAGACGAGGGGAGAAAAAGUUCGUGACUUGAAGCAAAAUUGUUUUUGUUUUUUUUUUUGGGUGGAAAAUGAAGCUUCAUUAAGAUACAAUUUGUGUUAGAAGGUCUAAGCCUAAAUAGAGCACAAAGCCUUAUACAACAAAGCAAACAUAAGAUAGAGGACAAACUCAGACAAAGAGAGCUACAACUCCAGCUACAAAGAGAGGGCCACACUGAUUUAGGCCCGUAGGCUACAAAAGAAACAAUAAACAGUAAAACCCUCAAAUCCUGAAGCCAAAAAUUGGUCACCACCGCCACAUCCGCCGUUACCUCCACGAAGAAAGACAUCGCACCAAACAAAAAAAUGCACCCGAACCAAAACUGCAACGCCCCGCCCCUAAAAUACUUAUUUUCGGGAAAUAAUUUUGAUGAUAGACCCAAUUUAAACUCUUGUUUAAUUUACUACCAUUACAACUUCAAUCCCUUAAUUCCUCACAAAACUAUAUCCAUAUUUUAAUUAUCAAAACAUACGAUUAAAUUAUCAAUUUAAUCCCUAAAUUUCUUCUAUUUCUAAAACUUCUCAAAUUUUAUAGAAAUGUAGAGCAUGUCAAGAGGAACAACUUUUAUACCUAUGUCGAAGUCUAAUUCGGCCGGGAAAAGCCCCAAUUUUACUCAAACCCACCGGAACCCUAGAAUUUGGGUGUUCUUCAAUUCGACCAAUCCGCAAGACCACCGCCCUAAAAAUGGUUGGGCUUUGUUCCUGACCUCAGGAGAAGUCGUUUGAUGGUGAUGGUGGUUAACAUUACUCUCACGAUUGCUGGAUUUCGACUUGGCACCCUCGGAACCCACGGGUUUCGUUUUACUCGAAUUCAAGCUCAAACCCAAUAAAAUUUGGGUGAAAAUGGAAGAGGGAAGGUUGGGGAUUUGUUUCCAAGUGAUAAUUUGGUGCAAUUUGCACCCAUUUGGCUAGAAAUUGCAUCGGAACCCCUUCUUUCCGUCGGAUCGGGCACGAAAAGGGAACGGGUCGAAGGGAUCCAGUGUCCCACACCUCUCUCCCUUCUCUUGUUUUUUAUUAGGUCCCUUUCUUUUCUUUUCCCCCUGAUUGGGCAGUCCCCCCUUCUUCUCCCUUCUCUUUUCCCUUUUUUCUUUCUUUUUUUUUCUUUCUUCCCUCCUCUUGUUGGUUCCUCCUUUCUUCCUCCUCUAACCACAACCACCACGUGGCUUUUCUACACCCAAACAAAACUCCAGCAAAUCUGGAGCAUUCCAGAUUCAUGGCAAAAUGAUCAUUUUGCCCCUAUCUUCGUUUGUUUCUAUUUUAUUCGUUAUAACUUCGUUUGACAAAUGGUUUUCGCCUACACACUUGUAGGGUCGUUCUCUAUUCAAUUAUGUCAAGAAAUAUGAUAAAAUAUAUGAGGAUAAAGUACAUCCUCGUAUAAUUCAAUUUAGCCAACUAGAGGCAUGCAUUUUCAUCCUUUCACUUUUCGAUAAAUUUUACGACAUAAUUUAUAAUAAUUUCCAUAAACAAAACUUUAACAGUUCUCAAUUCAAUUUUUCUAAGUCAAUUUAUUUUCGAUUUUUCUCCACAUUUUCAUAUAUUUAAAAUUUCAGGGUAUUACAAAAACCCAAAUCUAAGAGUAUUGCACAUAAUCAAUCCACCGAAAGCCAAAGCCAUCAUAGGCACACCUGUAAGAAAAGUCACCAAACGUAAUAGGGGAAGGGGGGCGAAGGGGGUGUGUAAAACACCCUUGUUCUGACGUGAAUCAUUCCACACUUUACCCAAUUUUUCCGGUAAGCCGAAUCGACAGUGAGCUGUACGGGUUGGGUCUCGAUUUAAGAUAGAGCCCAAUACUAAUAAAUUUAAAUCAUGGUUCAUUGUUGGGAAAGAUGAAGGGCAUCAUGAGGGAUGUAGGAGAACAUGGUGUGAUAUGGAGAUAUUGGGGGGGGGGGAUGACAGUGAGCGACCGAUGAUUGAGGAGAGGGAACAAAAAUGAGACCAAAGCUCAGAUAUGUGACAAAGCUAAAAAAAAACAUAAAAAAGACAAGGAAUGGAAGAGAGGAAAGAAAAGUAGAAGGAAACGUGAGAGAUUUUCAGGGUUGCCACUGACCCUAAAGCCAAAGGCUAAGGCCGGUGGCUGAGUAAGGGUUUCUCUUGGGGCUUUUCACAGAGAGAGAGAAAGAGAGAGCAAGGGUUGGGGCAAAUUGAAGCAAAAUUGUUAAUUGGUCUUUUCUCUGGAGACUAAAUUCUUAAACUAAAUUUUGUAAACUAAUGCUAUGUUUGGAUAAGAGAAAUAAACUUGGAAUUUGGAUAAAAGUUAGAAUUUAUAAAUUCACUGCACCAAUUCUCUUAUUUGGAUUCAUAAACAUAGAAAUUUAAAAUUUCCGCGUGGAAUUUUAUUUUUUUAUUUUUUUUGAAUUUAGAGUGUCACAGCCCGUUCCGGAAUUUUAUAUUCAUGGGUGUGAAAUGACAGAAUUGCCCUUAGCAGUUGCAAAGGUAUGUGUGUCAUAUUAUUUGAAUAGUGCAUACUUUUCUAAGUUUUGGAAAUUUAAUGGGAUUAAAAUUGUAUGCAUUUUUUAUGUGGUUAGGGACUUAGGUGGACCACCUACCCUCACCAUCAAACUCCUCUCUCUCUCCUAUCCCGUGCCCUCUCUCUCUUCCCUCUCAGUUUCUCUCUCUCUCUCUCUCGAACCGAACGGACAAGAACCCAAAAUCCCUCAAAACAUCACGGAUCGACGUCAAUAAGGUGAGUUUCUUCAUCCUUGCAACCUCCUGAGUUGAAUGGUACUAUUUUUGGAACUUAGAACCUUUGAAAUCACGUGAAAUCCGAACCCCAGUUUGAUGUCACUGUUCAUGCACACGUGAAUUGUUGAUUUUCAGGGAAUUCUAAGCUUAUAGGGAGCUUAGUGAGGUCCCAAGGAAGCUCGGAGUACUUAGUUUGAAGGUUUUGGACGUCGGGAUCGUAGGGUUCGAAGUUGGCCGGUUUUCUUGGAUUUUCUCCGAUGAGAUUUCAUAAUUUUUAGAGCCUUAAACUAGUACAAUGUGAUUCUACAUGCUUAGGGCUUCAUUUUAAUAUAAAAUGCGUAGAAAAUGGUGGAGAAAUGACGGAGAACAAAAAGAUUGAAAAAUCUCCAGUUUUCCGGCGCCGGCGAAACUAGUCCGGCGACUGGAGGAAGAAGAUGUCGCGUGUGGGGGCGCGUGGGUCCGUGCCCUUCCCGAUGCGUGGGGGCGUGUGGCAAGUCCAAUUUUUUUUCUAAAAAUACCUCGACAUCCGUGACGUCGAGUAGAUCACCGUGGUAUAUUCGUAUACCCAAAUUGAGCAUCGUAUGAGAAGUUAUUAUGCAUUGUCGGUUAUGUGCUUUAAUUAACGUUUUUAUAGUUGUUUCGCAUAUAGGUGAUACCUAUCCCGAGGACGAGCGCAUUCAAGGACGUUACGGGUGUCACAUCUCGGCCUGGGGCGGACCACUUCCGGGGCCCAUUCCACCACCGUAGCACGAUAUUGUCUGUUUUGGGCCCCGACUACGCCCUCACGGUUUUGUUUCCGGGAACUCACACGAGAACUUCCUAGUGGGUCACCCAUCAUGGGAUUGCUCUCGCGUGCUACUCGCUUAACUUCGGAGUUCCGAUGGAACCCGAAGCCAGUGAACUCCCAAAGGCCUCGUGCUAGGUAGGGAUGAGAAUAUACAUUUAAGGAUCACUCUCCUGGGUGAUGUGGGAUGUCACAAUCCACCCUCCUUAGGGGCUCGACGUCCUCGUCGGCACACCACGGCCAGGGUUAGGCUCUGAUACCAAACUGACACACCCCGAUCCUAGAAUCAAGGCGUGAUGGCCAUCACGUGAGCGUGACGUAACCAAAAGUGCGAUGCGGAAGCAAAAGAUAAGAGAAAUACGAAGGAAUAAAACCCAACUACUAGCAAUAAUCCAACUAGCAUGCUACAAUAAGUUUAAGUGUGAAACACACAAAUUCAGAGCAUAAGUACUAGGUGCAGUCAAGUAGGACCAUAACUAAAUUACAACACCCGCAGGUGAGUCCUACAUUUAUGUAGUCUGUCAGUACGCCGUGGGAAUCCUCGUGGGCCACCAACGCUGCUAACUAUAACCUGGAGGGGUGCAAAACAAAAUUGAGUGGGUCAGUAAAACCAAAGUUUUUCAAAAACAGUUCAUUUAAAACAUUUCUAACCCCUCGCUGUAAAACCUGUAUACUUUCCCAGAAAAUAACAUAAUAUGCAUAUAAUCUUCGUAUAUCUCAAAUCACAAUUCUUUAUCAAAACCCAUAAAAUAUGCCAUGCCAUAAUGUCAAUAACAGAUUAAGAAUGCAUUAAUAUAACAGGUGACAUAAUGAAUUAACCGGAGACCCUGCAGUUGGUCCUGUAUGGUUAAUUCCACAGCUCAAUAUCCAAACCAACCGAAGUCACCACGGUGACCUGUACGGCACUACUCUGCACAUAAGUCGGAACUACUUGAAGUAGUCUGUACAACAAGGAUGGUGUAAUAAUACGCUCUAGUGUUUCUCUCAUCAAUCAUCUGUGCACAUAAUCUAAGGUCACCUACUAGUCGGAACCACCUCUAGUGAUCUGUACGACUAGCAUGUCGGAACCCUCUCAUGGUCUGUACGACAUGCACCUACUUGGAUCCAAGGUGAGCGUGCGGUGCGGGUGAAUAAUAUAAGCACUAACAUCAGGGGUACAGGUUAUGAGCUCUCAAAUCUGCAAGAAGAGGAACACGACAAGCAUACAAAGCAUUGAGUCGACCUUGAGGUUUCCUACUCAGUGCAUCAGCUACCACAUUUGCACGACCCGGAUGAUACUCAAUAGUGCAGUCAUAAUCACUUAGUAACUCCAUCCACCUUCAUUGACGAAGAUUAAGAUCAUGCUGAGUGAAAAAAUAUUGAAGACUCUUAUGAUCUGUGAAACAAUGGAGAUAAUGCCUCCAAAUUUUCAAAGCAAAAACAAUGGUUGCCAACUCAAGAUCGUGAGUAGGAUAAUUCCUUUCAUGAAUCUUCAACUGUCGAGAAGCAUAGGCAAUCACUCUAUUAUGCUGCAUCAAAACACAUCCCAAACCAUUUAAAUAAGCAUCACUGUAAAUCUUAAAGUUACCGUUAUCAUCAGGAAGUACCAAUAUCGGAGCAUGAGUGAGGCAAUAUUUCAACUGCUGAAACUUUGCUCACAAUUCUCGUCCCACUCAAACUUAACAUCCUUUCUGGUUAACUUCAUUAGUGGUAAGGCAAUCAUAGAAAAAUCUUGAACAAACCAUCGAUAAUAACCUGCUAGACCCAGAAAACUCUGUACCUCAGUGACGGUUCGUGGUUGUUCCCAAUUCUCCACUGCUGCUAUCUUUUGAGGAUCUACUUGAAUUCCUUGUGCCGAUACUACUUGCCCCAAAAAUGCCACUUCAUUCAACCAAAACUUACAUUUACUGAACUUGGCAUACAACUGAUGCUCCCUCAAUUUCUUUAAUAUUAAAUUAAGAUGUCGAAUAUGAUCUGCUUUUGACUUAGAGUAUACCAGAAUAUCAUCGAUAAAGACAAUGACAAACCUGUCAAGAUAUUGCUGGAAUACCUCAUUCAUUAGCCUCAUGAAAGCUACAGGUGCAUUAGUCAAUCCAAAUGGCAUCACCAAAAACUCAUAAUGCCCAUAACGGGUCCUGAAAGCCGUCUUAGGUACAUCAUCAUCUUUAAUCUUCAACUGAUAAGAGCCAGAUCUCAAAUCAAUCUUAGAGAACACACACGUACCUUUGAGUUGAUCAAACAAAUCAUCGAUACGAGACAAUGGAUAACGGUUUUUAAUCGUUACCUGAUUCAAUUGCCUGUAAUCGAUACAUAAUCUCAAAGUUCCAUCUCACCCUAUUUCUUUCACCCACGAAAGUAACCUCUGGUAAUCUAGGACGAUGAAAAGUAACUGACUUCCUGUAACAAUCUAUAUGGGCAUGAUUACAAUGCAACCAAUCUGCCCCUAAAAUCACAUCAAAAUCCACAAUAUCUAACGGGAUAAGAUUAGUUGGCAUAACCACACCAUCCACCAUCAAUGGACACCCAGGAUAAACACUAUCAACAUAACAUUUGUCACCUCUAGGCAUAGCAAAUUCUAAAUCAAAUCUUAGAGGUGUAGGGUGAGGUUGAGUCAUUUGAGCAAACGUAUGAUAAAUCACAGAAUGUGUAGCACUACAAUCAAUCAAGACUCUUGCAAAAUGACCAAGAAUAAUUAACGUACCCAUAAUUAAAUCUGGAUGGUUCUGAGCAUCUUGCAGUGAGAUGUGAUUAACACGUCCCUGAGCUUGCUGUCGUCCACCACGACCUCUGUUGCCUUGGUUACCUCGCCCCUGAGAAGUACGUCUAUGUCCUGGCUGAUUAGACUGCCUAGAUGGUCCUGCACCACUAGCAGUAACCUUUCCUUGUCGGGGCUGACCUCCCUGAUGCCACUGAGAUCCACUAGUUGGCAUGGAAGAAUAAGAAGUAUAACCUCCAAGGUCUUGGGAAUACCCAGUCUGAGAAUAUGGAUCCUGGGAAUACUGAUACUGUCCGGAAGCAUAUGGAGCAGCAUCACCCUGGUAAUGGUAAGCACCACCACGACCCGUCUGACCAUAAUUGCCUGAUCCAAAAUUUUGCUGAAUCGGCGCUGGAGGUGGCAUAACAGACUGCUGAGACCUCUACUGACUCUGGGAACACUGAGCAGCCCUAUGUCCCAUCUGUCCACAAGUGUAACAAGCACCAUCACUUCUCAUACACUCUCCAUGAUGUCUGAAAUUACAACGGCGGCACAACGGAGCACCAGAACCACCAGCACCACCAAAAUCUCUCUGUCUCUGAAACCUAGGUCCACCAGCAAAUCUUCCACCUCUCAUCGGGCCUGUGACACUAAAUCCUCCACUGGAAGAACUCGAGCGAGCUCCACUUUUCUUGAAAUUCUGCGUCUUACGGGUUCCCUGAGUGGAGAUACCUUUACCCCUAUCCUCUUUCUUCUGAUUAUCAUUCUUAUCUUCAUCAUCCUCACUGUUACUAGGAAGGUUGUCAGAAUCCUCCAUCCUAACCAAAAUCUCAGAAAACUCAUGAUAAUUGGUGCAAGGAAGCGCACUAGCAAAAGUCCACCAUUUCCUCUUAGUUCCCAGCUUAAAACGGCGAAGCAUCUCUGCCUGAUUACCAGCUGUAUCAGGGUCAUAACGAGACAAGUCUGUAAACUUCCUGUAAUACUCAUGUGCCGACAUAUUCUUUUGCUUCAAUUGAGUGAACUCCUGCUUCUUACGAUCAAUGUACUCCAGAGAAACAAAUCUUUUCAUAAAAUUCUCUUUGAAUACUUCCCAGUCAGCUGCCAUCUCAGGUGACAUAAACUUAGUCUGAUUUACCCACCAAGCUGCUGGCUCUCGCCCCAAAAACCAAGUAAUGGUCUCAACCCAUCUAUUAGCAAGAAGAUUCCCCUGACUCUGCAUCACCUGAAAAGUCUUCUCAAUAUGGUCUAACCAUUUUUCUGCUCCUUCAUGACCUUCAUUACCCAUGAAACGGUCCAAUUUCAGAUUAUACAUAGUCUUCAGGGGUGUUCUCUGAGGAGGAGGAGGAUGACGGAUUGCAUUUUGAAAGGCAUGGGCCAUCGCUUCCCCUAAUUGAGUUAUAUCAGGAAAAUUAGACUCAGUAGCACGGCGUGAUUCCCUACGAGGCGGCAUAGUUCUGACAGAAGACACCAAAAGAUCAUUAGAGCAUUAACAAUUUAUACAGGACUGCAACCUAGGCUCUGAUACCAAACUGACACAUCCCGGGCCCAUUCCACCACUGUAGCACAAUAUUGUUUGCUUUGGGCCCUGACUACGCCUUCACGGUUUUAUUUCUGGGAACUCACACGAGAACUUCCCAGUGGGUCACCCAUCAUGGGAUUGCUCUCGCGCGCUACUCGCUUAACUUCGGAGUUCCGAUGGAACCCGAAGCCAGUGAGCUCCCAAAAGGCCUCGUGCUAGGUAGGGAUGAGAAUAUACAUUUAAGGAUCACUCUCUUGGGUGAUGUGGGAUGUCACAACGGGGGCUACGACCCUUCGACUUACCAGUGAGUGGGCAAUAUUUUCUGUAUUUACCUAUAUACUAUUAAUUUUUCCCAGAAAUUGAAUUUAAAUGAAAGUGUGUUUUAAAAUGCCAUGCAUGCAUAUUAUGAAAUAUGUGAAUUAGUAUUUGAUGCAUAUAUAUAUGUGAAUUGUGUCGGGGCCGCACAUGUGAGUUUUAUGUUAAUCAUUGUGAUGUGAAUUGUAUUGAAAGCUCAAACAUGCACCCCUGGUGUUAGUGCUUAUAUUAUUCACCCCGCACCACACGCUCACCUUGGAUCCAAGAAGGUGCAUGUCGUACAGACCAUUAGAGGGUUCCGACAUGUCGUACAUACCAUGAGGUGGUUCCGACUUGUAGGUGAUUUUAGAUUAUUAUACAACUGUUGAUGAGAGAAGCACUAAAGCGUAUUCUUAUACCUUUCUUAUCGUACAGACUACUUCAAGUAGUUUCGAUUUAUGUGCAGAGUAGCGCCGUACAGGACCAAUUGCAGAGUCUCCGGUUAAUUCCUUAUUUCACCUGUUAUAAUGUUGCAUUCUUAUUCUGUUGUUGACGUUAUGGCAUGGCAUACUUUCUGGUUUUUGAUAAAGAUUUGUGAAUUGAAAUAUUUGAAGAAUUAUAUGCAUAUUAUGUCAUUUUCUGGGAAUGUAUACAGGUUUUACAGCGAGGGGUUAGAAAUGUUAUUAAAUGAAAUGUUUUCAAAAAACUUUGUUUUACUGACCCACUCAAUCUUAUUUUGCGCCCCUCCAGUUUCUAGUUAGCGGUGUGGUGGCUCACGAGGAUUUCCACGGAGUUCUGACAGACUACAUAAAUGUAGGACUCACCUUCAGGUGUUGUAAUUUAGUUAUUCCUACUUGACUGCACCUAAUAUUUAUGCUCUGAAUAUGUGUGUUUCACACUUAAACUCACUCUAGCAUGUUAGUUGGAUAUUAUUGUUAGUAUUAGGUUUUUAUUUCUUCAUAUUGCUCUUAUCUAUUGCUUCCGCGUCACACUUUUGGUUACGUCACGCCCACGUGACGGCCAGCACGCCUUGAUUUUAGGAUCGGGGUGUGUCAUGGAGCCUUCAACUCCCAAGUUUAAAUUCCAUGUAAAUAGAUGUCAUUUUCCAAUUUCUAUGAUUGAGAGUUUAAAAAUAAGAAAUUUCGUAUUCAAUUCCAUUGUUGUUUUAGGUUAACCAAACAAAAAAAUUCACAAUUUCUAGAAAAUAAAAUCCCGUCAUUUUAAAAUUUCUUAGUAAUCUUAAACUUCUUUAUCCAAACAUAGUGUAAAUGAUGUGGUUCUUGAUAAUUGAAUUAUAAUUUAAGUGUUGAUUAACGUGCUUAUUUUUUUUAUUAGUGAUACAUUAUUUGAUUUGCAAACAUGUUGUGCAAAAAUCAAAUCAACGUUAAAAGAAAUUUAGUAAAAGUGGCGCUUUCUCAAUGUUUCCUCUAUUCAAAAGACAAGACGUGUUGCACAUAAAAUUUCUCUCUAAUAAAUUGGCCAUAGAAUUUCUCAACGCUUUUCGGUUUGACUCCCCUUCUCCAAUGAAUAAAUCAUUUUUCCUUGGAAAGCAAUACUUGCAUUAAGAAUUUUACUUUAGAUAAUAUUUUAAAUCAAUCACGCAGUUCAUGUAUUUUAAUUUUCUCGCAAAACAUUACGUUAUUGCUAUGAAAUUACACCUCCUUCACAAUCAUAAUAUAAUUGUCAACCAUAACAUAUCAUUCAAAUCUCCUCCACAAUCAAAAGCUGUCCUCACUAGUAAGAUCUGCAGCACCUCCUCAUGCAUACAUAUAUAAUGGCACUUAACAAAACUACACCUCUUGCCAUCUACUCCUGGAGUCCUCCUUUUACAAAACCAGUUUGGAACUUCACAGAGACACUAACCCUAGCUUAAGAGAGUUGUUAACGCCACCCCUUCUUAACUUUCCACCAACAAUCCAGCUUCUUUUACAAUCUCUGCACAAACGUUUUUCUUUACGUAGAUUGGAAUAUUUGAACUGUUCAAAUCUUGUGUUCAAGCUUUCGCAGCGAGGGCAGGGAAGUAUCUUCUUGCGUGCCUCCGCUUUAGCUCGGGCUAAUUCAUCAGCACUAGGCUGCAAUGCUGCACGCAUUUACCAAACGUCAAAGCAAAUGUUCAUCCAGAAGAAGAUUCAAAUAUCUCAAACGCGUGAUGUGUCAAGUUAAUUACCUGGUUUAGAGAUGCAUGCUUCCACUCUCAUAUCCUUCUUCUGAAUUUCCGGCUUCUUCUCAGCAACCCUCCGCUGCAUGUCCUGUCAAUGAACAGAUGUACAAUUCUAAUCAUGCGUACAGAAUUGGUUAAUUCAUGCCAUUUAAACGUAGGAAUUACACAGCGAAGGACUUCAUCGGUUGAACUUACCCUGUCCCUAACAAGCACCUUGUUCCCCUCUUUGAUUCUUUCCAACUCUACAAGGUUUCCCACACAUUUACUUGCAAAGUGAAUUAAGAAAAACCCCGAAAAUGCCAAUGUGAUGGAUGAACAAAAACAUAAACGAUCAAAUAUAUCACAAAGGAUACGUCCCGUCUUCCAAAAGUUUGAGCAGGUUCUUAGUAUUCUGUGAACACAUUCAGAACAUAUCAAGGUAAAUUAGACGAAAUGAAUCAUCAAAAAUGAAUUAGAUUAGCCAAUUCAGAUCGAUAAAGUUACAACCUUUACAUCCUGACAACUUAUGUAUUCAGAUCAAUCAAGUCACACCAACUUGCUUAUAGCAAAUCAGAGAUUAAAUUACGAGGGCGGAGAAAAGAAGAAGUACCAUUUCGGCAAAGGAAUCAGUUUGGUCCCCAAUCUCAUGCCUCUUCUUGCCAUCUGCUAUCCACACCAAAAAUCUCAGUCACUUAUUGGCAAAGCAUUAUCUUGCAAAAAGCCCAAAAUUUCUUAGGGCCCAUUUGGGAUUUGCUUCUGUUUAGACAACCAAAAGUGCUUCUAAUUACCUUAAUGCGUUUGGAACAAAAACAUUAUAGUUCUUAUGGUUGUAGAGGUGCUUCCACUUGGAACUUUUUUUAUAAAAAUUUCUACUUGUUUAUAAUACUACAAGCGUUUCUAGCAUAAGUGCUUCCUACAGAAGCAGUCCCAAACAAACCCUACGUCACUUUACCUCAAAUUUCUACACAAAGAAAAAAAAGAAAAACGACAAAAGCAUUUUCCAGCAGAAAUUCGGAGAAAAAAUUGCAAAGAAACCAUGGUUGUAGCAAUGUAUGACUAACAUAUGUGAACCUUAAACACGCAACGAGAAAGAAAUGCAGGCGAAAGAAAGAAAUAUCAAGGAAAGCAGAAAUGGGAGAAACUGACCUCGAGCAUUGUCAUCUUCUACGUCCAUUGCUUUAAUUUCGUCGCCAAUUUCUCCCAGAGGGCUUGUUUGCUCUCUCUUUGCACCUCCCCGCAGACGAACCAUCUCUCUCUCUCUCUCUCUCUAGCUGGUUCUUACUUCUUACUGGUCUGAAUUCAGAAAUUACAAAACGACUGGAAAAGUUCUUGACUUGGAAGGAAAUGGUGAGCUGCAUAAAUUUUUAGUUGAGACGGAAACACGGAUGGUACAUCACGUGUUUUUAUGUAAAUGGUGAAAAAUUUUAAUUUUUAAAUUAUUAACCUUUUAACACAUAUAACCUACCAUUUAUAUAGGAACACGUAGUGUACCAUCUCGUGUGACGGUCACAUUGAAAAAUCUCUCGGUGAGCUGGUCGUUGAUUCUGAGAAAUUUUUAAUUGUGACGGGAACACAAGUGGUAGACCACGUGCUUUAAUUGAAGUGGUGAGAAAUUUUAUUUUUUAAGUCAUUAACAUUUUAGCACACAUUUCCAAUCAUUUGUAUAAUAACACGUGAUAUACUAUCUCAUGUAUCAGUCAUACUGAAAAAUCACUCUCGUGGAUUCUUUCGUGGAAGUGUUCCCUAUUUGGGCCUUUUUGUUGUUUUUGUUUUUUUCCCAAACUUUGGGCUCUCUUUUGGUUCAAUUCGGCUUCUUGCCGUGGGACUGUCGUGUUUAUAAAUGGAAUUUAAAAGAAAUAACAAACGGUGGAACCAUCUGAUAGAUGGUGAACAAUAUCGAAAGUAUUUUGUUAAAAAAAAUUUUUUUUCUAAUUCACUACGUCGAGUUUAAACUCUUCCCUUCAUUUUAGUUAGUUUACAAUAAUAAUGUCGCUUGCAGUUAAAACAAAUUGAUGAUAAUUGUGUAUAAGUGAAGUUUUUUUAUCAGAGCGAAAAAAGUGAAGCUUUUUCAACGCAUUUGUUUCUCAAAUAUAAUAUUUCAUCUUUUAUUUCAUGAUGUUCCUUUAUUUUCUUCUUUUGACGAGCUUAAGAAUUAUACUUUCAUCUUCGUAUCAAAAUUGAAAGAAAUUGAGUAACGCAAGAUAUCUUAUGAAAUGUCAUCCACAAUUGAUUUGGCUUUUAGAUGUGUAUUUUGUUCUUAAAGUCUCUGACUCCGUCUCUACAAAUGAAGCCUUUUUCCUUAGGAACUAAUGAUUUCCUUAAGAAUUUUACUUUGAUGUUAGGUUAUGGAUACCACUUUAGCAAGCCAAAUUAACAUACCCCGUAUGCGUUUUAGUUUUUUCACGUAGCAAUGCAUGAUUGCUCCAAACGUCGGAGGAAUAAAGAAUGUAUUCUCUAAAACCAGGAGACUGCUGGUUACAAUUGCUCCUAAUGGUUCAAGUAGUUUUUCCUAUACAACUAUCAUUGUAGUUUGUCUGCAACAUAGCCUCUACAUAUUGUGCAUCAAAUGACCAUGAAAUUCUCAAAUUACAAAUCUUAUACCUUGCCGCUCGACUCUUAUUUUCGGCCACAAACUCGAUCGCGGCAAAUUGCCAAGAUAGAACAUACAAACUAGCUCCGAGCUUCAGCAAAGCUGGAGGCAAGCUAAUUAAGACUUGCCCAGCAAGCUUCCUAACUAAAGCUAUCGAUUUGGUGACACUUAUGAUGUCGUCAACAAUGUGAUCAGCAAUCCAGACAAAUAAGGUAUGUUAAUGUGGGCUUCAUCAAUAUGUAAACCUUUCAAAAUUUUGAUAACAAAAAUGGAAAGUUUUACACUUACAAUUCACGGUUUUCAGUCGGUUAUGCAAAUUCGUAUAUAAAUCACCAUUCAAUUUUUUUUAUUUUCACCAUCGCCUCAUUGUGAAGUUUUGAAAAUUAAGAUGAGACUUUCCGUUGAGAUUCUUGAGUGUAGAACUCUAUUUGACAAUGAGAUUAUCAACAUGCAGAAUGAGGCGAACUUCCGGGGUGCUCAGAUAGCAUAGUUAAUGAGAUUAUCAACAGCAUCAAAAGCUCAUACAUUCAUUCUGCUUGAUCAAGUUAAUACUCUUCAUAAUCAUUGUACAUAUAUAUUUGCAUUAAUCCAUGAUUUCAUUUCACCUAAUGCAUCUAGUUCCUACAUUCCUACUCCGUCUAAACCCUAAUAUUAAUAAACUUAAAUGACUGAUAUAGAAACAAAAAUCUCUUUUCCAAUAGUUCGAUACAGUACAUUGUAAGCCUUAAAACCAAUAGUUCCAACAGAAUCCUAGCAACCAGUGCAUCUUCCAAACUACGGUUUCGGGGUGUGGCGGUUGUUGGCGCCUGAUCCCGGGUAGUCAUUUAGCUCCACACCCAUCCUUUCACUGAUAGCUCUCUCAUUAUAGAUCUUCUCUGUGGUUACCUGUUUUGAAAAAUGAAAAUUAAGUGAUGGAAGGCUAGUAACUCAACACAUCUUUUCCCGGAGCGCUUCUCGUGAUACUUGUACUAUGAAUACAUGUCUAUUAAGAUCCCUAGAGGAUCCUCGCGAGUCGCGAAGAACUAUAAUAUCGAAAAUAUGGAGUAAUACCAGUUUGUUACUUCCUGCAAUUUGAUGAAGUUGAGGUCCAAGCUUUAGACUUCCAAUUCCUGCAUGUUGUAAAAAGCAAAUGAGAACUAGAUGGAGAAGAAUAAGAGAAGCAGAAAGCUGUUACAGGUUUUACUUGUAGCUGGGAUGGCAUUCAAGAAGAUAAGUUGAGAAAACCCUAGCAAGAUCACAAGCACAUGAAGGAGACUGCUUGCCAUUUUCUCUAUGAAGUUGGAUGUUAAUUGUCUUAAAGCUAUCACUACUCAAUUUAUACAACUCAAAAAAGCUGCCUUUCUAGACCUUUGUUUGAGUUGUUGGGAUUUGGAAAAAAUCAAAAGGGUGAAAGAGAAGAGGAGUGUAAAACUGGUGGAAAUUUACCCCAAAAUGCAGUGAGGUGGUUUGGAAAUUGUUAAGUGGGGCAGUUGAUUUUUAAGUGAAUGUGGUAGUGGAGGUGUCACAAAGGAUGAUGUCGUGGCAAAAUUUGAGCUCAAGGGUCUCAUGCACUAAAUUGUAGGUUAAGGUUUAGUGGGAGUCAUCAUCAUUGGACACAGCUGCACAAGGAUAUUCAAUGAAAUGGAAGAAGAAAUCACUAAAAAAGCAAAGCAAUAUGGACUUAGAUCUUUUGGGAUUCAUUUUAGUGGCAUGUCAACUAAGGGGUAGGGAAAACAAACAAGAACCACCAAAUGCGAUAGCAUGUAGUAUUGCAGUACAAGUACGACUUGUUUGAAAAAGAAAAAAAAAGUUGAAGAUGAUGACAUGUUUACUUGGAACAUACUUGUAUUCAAAUUUUCGAUUUUUGAUUUUCUCUAUGUUUGCUAACGCAUGGAUAUUAAAGUUAGUAUGAUUCAUGAUUUCACAUGGGUUUGCUCUUGAUUGAUGCUUUCACAUGCAUUUGCUAAUACUGUGACACUAACGGACUAAAAAAUUAUGUGACUCAUACAUUACAAUUUGUAACUCAAAAUCUGAAAAACAAAAAUUAAAUUAAUUAAGGAGUAGUUAAUCUCAUUUACAUUUCUUAUCUUCUUUAUUUAUGACUUUUUCAGUUCAUGACCUCUUUGUUGAGAGUGAAUUCCACAUAAAGGAGAGAGACAUUACAUAUGCUUAUAAUAGUUGGGUUACUUCGUAUAUUGUCAAAUGAUUUUAUGGUGAAGGCUCAACCUUCUCUAUGGUAUCAGAGAGCAGGUUGUUUUGUGUGUCAAGCCUAACUGCCACCGUGCUCCACGCCACCCGAUUUGUGUUAUUCACGUGUUAGACUUUAAAAUUCAUCACACAUGAGGGAGCACGUUGAGAGUGAAUCCCACAUCAGAAAUAAGAGGGAUGUUUUGUGUACUUAUAAUUAUGUAGUUGGAUUCAUGUUAUCAAUUGGUUAUACGGUGAAAGCUCAAAACUUUCUUUGCUCUUCUUAUUAUGAUUUAUUCUUCUUUCCAAGAAUAAGACACACAAUGAUCUGGUUGGAUGGUAAGUGCAGAACACAAUUAGAGUUGGCAACACAAUCAGUUUAACCAUUCAACUUCGUUCCGACUUCAGUGGACAUAUUGGGAUCAAGUUAUCAUGCUUUUAGUUUAAAUUGUUUGACUUUAUGAAUCACCAAUCAAACUUUACAAUGUGUUUGGUGGUGGGUCACUGCCCUUACAUGGUGGCAUGGUUACAGAUUUAUUAGGUUGUAAUUAAAGUAGUUAUUGACAAUGAAACAAACAUGGCUCAUGUAUUAGCCAAUUCCAAAAGGCAAUUAACAAAAUUAAUUAACUAAUUACAAUGUAAAGCUAAAAGCCUAAAGAUCCGAAAUGGGGCUGAGAAAGUAGAAAAGAUAUAUAAAGCAAGAAAGGCCUAAGGAUCCAUCCAGAAUAAUCACACCAUGCUUUCUGCUGCUUUUGCAUGCUUCAAAAUUUAUCAUGCUACAUUUUACUCAAACUUAGUCAAUCCUUUCAGAUGGGAUGCUGUCCGUUGAUGAUGUUUGUUUGAUCUCACCCAAUUCAGUCAGUCCUUUCAUGCCCAUGGGAGCAAUAUGUCACACACUUCACAUUGAGUUUAUGUGCUUAACAACUUACAUGGAGAGUUCACAUAAUCUUCUAUUUUUAUCAUUAGGGUGGAUCUUUCUUCUGGUUUAGUGUGUUACAUGAUGAAAGGGUUAAUCUGAUUUAAUCAUUGAGGUACAGGUUACACAAACUCAUGAUAUCUAAGAUUUCCUAUAGAUGAUGAUUGAUGUCUAGCAAAUAAUCAUUUUACAUCGAGAGAUCAAAUGGGGUCGUGUUAUACACGUCUUUUAAAUGAAAAGUCAUUUGUUAAAUUGAUAAGAAUUUUCACAUUUAGUUGUUAAAUACCUCAAUGACCUACUUUAAGAUUUUUCAGGAUCAUAUAAACUCAUGAUAGGUAAGUUUUUCUUCAGAAGAUGAGCAAUGAUUGGCGAGAUUUUUUCAUUUUAAUUUCGCGCCUUAAGUCAAUAUUUUUGCAAUUGUAUAAUGAUAAUGAUGUUUCGUUCCGUGUUUCAAGUACACUGAAAAAUCUCUUCAAAUAAAAUAACAAUCAACAAGCAAAAAGCUACAUGUAUCUGAAACAUAAAAAAAAAUUGAAAAGAAAGAAGGGGACUAAGAGAUUGGAGAAAUUUCUUCAAACCUUCCAUCCUAAUUUCAUCUUAAUCCUGUCCAAAUCAAAUGUGUGGUAUGUGCCUCCUAAUUGAAAAACAUGUUAGCGGAAAUCCAAACCGCCCACUGGGUAAUCCGACAUUAAACAAAUCAACUUUAACUACCUAAUUACACUUGUUUAAUUCUGAUUAAAAGAAAAAGUUGACUUGUUUAAUCAAUAGAUGAAGCAUGUGAUUAAAGUAAUCAAAACCAUUUGACCUUUAACACCGAAAGACCAAACCUUAGAGCAUUUUAAAGGAUUUAACAAAAAAUAUUUCUUUGAAGGUGUCUUUGUUAACCCAUUUGAAUUGUGACUUGGCACAUGUCCUCUUAACAAGAUAAAACGUAAACAAAAUGAUAAAAUAAAAAAAAAAAAACUAAUGAAAAUGGUUUGAAAACUUUGAGUUUUAAUGAUAAUGACAAAAUAAAAGGGAAAUGAAUAAUACAAAGAUUGAUUUUUAGUGUAAAAAUGUAAAUUUUUAUUAAAGUACCGAGAACUUUUCUUUAAAAUUUUUAAUAAAAAAAUGGGCAGCCUUCGCAUUCCUGGUCUGGUUGGGGGCCAGAUGGCUAUGUUUGGCCCCAGCUUGGUGAAUCGUAUCCAUGCGCAAACCCAUUGUGCGCCCUUUAUCGUUCUCCCACUCUUUCAACCAACUUUUUAGAUUUUAUUUUAAAAUAUUAAUAUCUUAACUUUAUUUAUUUUAUGAGAUCCAAUUUGUAUUAUCAAACACUUUAUUAAUAAUAUUUUAAAUAAAAUAGGUUGCGAGAUCUAAUUUGCUAACUUAAACAAAGUAACAACUGACCUUAUAAGCAUGUAAGAUCAAUUAUUAAUUCUUUAAUUUGCUAACUAAGUUGUUAUCUCCAUUAAAAAUUUAUUUUUACUACACAACAUAACAAAACUAACGUCGUCAAAUGCUGCUUUAUUUGGAGAUACUCUUAUCUUUUAACUUUUUAUACCUAGGAGGAUCAUCGCCAAAUCCUAUUUAUGAGGAUCCUAGAGAUCCUCCAAUCACAUAUGUUCAUCUUUCAUCGUACGGUUAGAAAUCAUUGUAAUUUUUUUAACUUAAAAUUGAAUAUAAACAGUAAUUGACAAAAACUGACCGCACGAUGUAUGAUGAACGUAUAUAAUUAGAGGAUUCGGCAAGGAUCAUCUCUCCUUUAUCCCGGAAAGAACUUUUCUCCAUAUCUCUUCCACCAGGUCACCAAAUCAAAUGAUCCGGGCUUUGAAUUUUCAUCCAACGGCCCAUAUGUUUUGAUCCCUUAAAAGCUAUAAUAAUUUUUUACCGUUGAAUGAAAUUUCAAAAGCCCGAAUCAUUUGAUCUAAUGAUCUUGGUAGGAGAGAUCUGAAGAUGAUAUCUUUCCCUUUAUCCCUACAUUAAGAUUGUACUAAAUCAUAUUUUUUUUUACUUUUAUAUUGCUUAAUUUUUUGGAAUAUUAAAAAAAUUAAAAUGUCCACUAAUUGGAUUUGGUGUCAUCCUUUGAGAGCUCUGCUUAGGUAAAUUUUUAGUUGUGACGGAAAUACGAAUGGUACACGAUGCGUUUUUAUGUUAGUGGUGAAAAUUUUUAAUCUUUAAGUUAUUAAUCUUUUAAUACACGUAACCACUCAUUUAUAUAGGAACACGUGGAGUACCAUAUUAUGUGAUGAUCAUACUAAAAAAAAUUUCCUCUGCUUACGUACAAGUUGGUCAAUGGUAUACGCGUGUCAUGAGCUAGGAUACGUGUUGGUCAUCUACGGGAGAUUGUGGAGAAAUUCUGCAGGCUUUCAACUUUGAGCUUUUUGGGGUGGGACCCAUUGAAAAGUUUCUGCAGCUGGUGUGGCGACAAACCUGGUUCUAAUCUGAGAUUAAAUAUUUAGUCAGCAAGAUAAAUGAAAUAGAAAAUAUAUUGAGUUGCCUUAGAGUCUUCAUACACAAGUAAUUAAAGAGAUUAAAUUACAUUAUCGCUUAGAGUAUUCAUAUAUUUAGUUUACUUUUCACACGUUUCUUAUAAUUUAGGUUAUUUGAUCUUCUUCAACUCGUUCAAUCCGACGGUCAAAAUUUAAGAAGGGAGGGUGGGAUGUGUUAUUCAUACACCCCAAAAAAUAAUUGUACUAAGUAUGUUUGCAAUCCUGUGUUUUUUUUAUGGAAAGGUACAAUUUAUUAAGAUGCCAAUAAAAUACGUAUAAGAGGAUAAGACAUAAAAAGUAAGCGAAUCUCUGAAGAAUAAAAAACUUUGUCGGGAUUUUCAAACCGGAAACAUAAAAAAAAGGCCAUCAUUAUAGAAUAAAAGAGAACAUUGUAAUCACUGAGUAAAACUAUUUUGAAUCAAGAUGUUUGCUACAUGUCCGGUGGUCCUUCAAAUUAAGCCACCUCAUGUUGCUCUCCAGUUCCUGCUCUUUCAAGCCUAUGUGAUGCCUGAUUUGCUUCUCGUCUAACAUGACUUAAGCUUGAAUCGAGAGAAAGCUUGAAGAAAUAAGCGACUGUCAUUAAAUAUUAGGAAAACUAAUGAAAAUAGUUUGAAAACUUUGAGUUUUAACAAUAAGGACAAAAUAAAGAGUAAAAUGAAUAGUACUAGGAUUGAUUUUUUAGUGUAAAAAUGUGGUUUUUCGUUAAAGUGAACAGUAUCAGGAGCUUUUCGUUAAAGUUCUCUUAAUUAUUAAUCCCAUCCCAAAUAGAGGUGUCAUCACCUUGUUGGAUAGCAGCUAUUGCAAGGAUAUAAUCUCCUUCAAAUUCUACUUUAGUAACUCGCAACUCCUUUACAAAUAUGACAACCCUUCUAACAGCACUCAACUCUGCUUGCAAUGGCGAACCCCCAAACUUUAAUUUGAACUCAAUUUGCAGCCAUAAUUUCUUCCUUCGUCAACAUUGUCGCCUACAAGACACAUAAGAGGGUACUUUAAACAAUUUCCUUGCAAGAAAAUAAGAAAAGUUGACCCAACCACUAUGAAUGAUACCUCGAAGAGUUAAGGAUUAGUAAUCAUUUUCAGAAAUCGAAUGGAUUCGGUCCUAUACAUACGCGAGGAAUGUAAUAAAAAAAUUUAUUUUCAUUCCACUUAGCCCUAUCCCUCUCUAGGGGUAUUUUAGGUAUCGUUUGGUACGUGUGACGGGAUGGAACGGAGUGAGAUGAUGUGUUUCAUCUCGUGUUUAGUGUGCCUAAAACGGGUGGAACGUGUUGUUCUACGGGACGAGUUUUGAGUGAAUUUUCGUUCCGUCUCACCCCUGAAACGACUUGUUCCACAUCCGUGGAACACAAAAUUAUAACAUCUUCAUCUCCUUCUUCCUUCUUGUUCCCAUUCGAGGGCAUCUUUGCUCCCUUUCCGUUCUGUCCCGUCCCGUCCCAUUCCGUUCCGUCUCAUCCCAUCUGCAUACCAAACGAUACCUUAGUGAUGGAUGUUAUAGGAACUAGACAAUCUUAUUUGGUCAAGUUGUAAAAACUUGUGAACAAUAAAAAAUUAUGAAAUUAUAUUAUCCUUCGACAAACUGCAUGUACUAGAUAAAUGAAUUGUUAAUUACGCGACUAAAGAUCUGAAAAUAAAUUCAACGACUAAAGAUAUGAAUGUUAGCAUAUAUCGGUGCAUACUAAAAAAUUCGUAACAAUACGAGGAAGAAAAAAUAUAGAAAAUGUUAUUGACACUUCAAAAAUCUCAUUUUACACUCAUCAUAAGUGUAUUUUUCUUUCCUAAUAUAGAAAAUUUGAAGUGUAGAAUAAGAUUUUUGAAAUGCUUCCCAGAAAGAUACAUAUCUCUAAUGGUAGCACCGAAUUUUCCAUGCACCCAAAGGAAAGUUGACAAGGGAAAUCUGGAGGCCACGAGAACUUGUGGCUGAGAAUCAAACGCCACGUUGUGACGUGGCACCCACUUCCAGCUAAGUUUAAACAGAUCAAAAUCGUAGACGACGUUUUACUACGGCCAAUGCCACCACGACUCUCACCCAAAAGAAACGAAAAGGAAAACACUUCCAACGCUCGCGCCUCUUUUUCCACUGUUUGGCUGCCGAGAAAAUGCUGGAAACUAAGGACCCCGCGAUCAAGCUCUUCGGGAAGAAGAUUGCCCUCCCCGCCGACAUCGAAGACUUGGGUUUUGCUCGGCCUGUAGAGAAAGAAGUGGAGGUAGAGUCAGAGGAGGAGGACGAAGAAGAAGAGGAUGAAGAGACAGAGCAGGUAACAGUUUGUAACUCAGAGAGAAAGUUCUUGUCUAAAUUUUUGUUUGGAUUCGACCCUUUUGUUAAAAUGCUGAGAGCUUUGAAGGGUCGAGCUUGUUUUCUUGAUUCGUUUUCAUUUUUUCUAUUUUUGUUUGAUUUUUUGAUCCUGUUUAAUUAACUUCAUAAAUUUUAGCAGAUGAAAGAAUCAGGGAAAGAAAGUGGAAAUUCUGAGCCUUUUUUUUCCAGUUGAAAGUUGAAAUCGAAAAUUUGUUGCCUUUUGAUUGUUUGAUUCAAUUUUGUUUAUCAAUGAAACGAUUUUCAAUCAAUGGAUUUCACUCCAGCUUUUGGAAAAGUAUUAAAUUUGAUAAGUUUUAUUACUUCUUUGUUUAAUAAUUUUGGUUAAUUAAGUCCAAUUUGCAUGUAGCUAAUUAGAUUGUUUUUAAGUGUGACUGCAGAUAAAAAACUGUGAAACUGUUUAUGCUUCUUGAUUUUCUCCUAAUUAAGCAGCCAGAUUUUCAGCUGUGAGAUUUAUUUAUUCUUCAAAUGAAAGAAAUCUGGAAGGUUUUCUGUUGAUUUUCUAAGCUGUUGUUUUCAUUAAUCUGGAAAUAUUACCCGAUUCUAAAUCGUACUUGUAAAAUUUUCAGGAUUCGCCAUCACGAAAAUCGACUGAGAGCAUAGAACAAGAUGAUGGUUCUCCUCCUAAAACUGAAGACCCUGCAAAUCUGGAAAUAUUACCAGAUUCUAAUGUGAACCCGAAGACACCAUCAACAGAUGAAGCAAGUGCGCUAUCGAAAACUGCUCAGACAGAGAAAGAACCGAGUACCGAAAACUCGGAAGAGAAAGCCCUGAAGAAGCCUGACAAGAUACUUCCAUGCCCCCGCUGCAAUAGCAUGGACACUAAAUUUUGUUACUACAACAAUUACAAUGUCAAUCAACCGCGGCAUUUCUGCAAAGCCUGUCAAAGAUACUGGACUGCAGGCGGUACCAUGAGGAAUGUGCCUGUGGGAGCUGGACGUCGCAAAAACAAGAACUCUGCCUCACAUUAUCGCCACUUCACCAUUACCGAGGCUCUUCAAGCAGCUCGGAUUGAUGCUCCAAAUGGAGCUCACCACCCUGCAUUAAAAAGCAAUGGUAGAGUCCUGAGCUUCGGAGUGGAUGUACCUAUUUGUGAUCCUAUGGCUUCUGUUCUAAAUCUUGCAGAUAAAAAUGUUUCAAGUAGUACUCGAAAUGGUUUACAUAAAGGUGAAGAACAGGUAUUUCGAGCUCCUUGCAAAUCUAGGGAAAAUGGUGAUGAUAGCUCCAGUGCAUCUUCUGUAAAUGUUUCAAAACCACACUUGGUGAAUGUCAAUGGGUUCUCUUCGCAAAUUCCUUGUCUUCCUGGUGUUCCCUGGCCUUAUCCAUGGAAUGCAGCAGUUCCCCCACCGGCUUUUUGUCCUCCAGGAUUUCCUCUAUCAUUUUGUGCUGCACCUUAUUGGAACUGUGGCGUGCCUGGCACCUGGAACGUUCCUUGGUUUGGUCCACAACCCGCUACUCCAAACCAAAAGUCUCCCCACUCUAGUUCAAAUUCUCCAACAUUGGGGAAGCAUUCGAGGGAUGAGGACGUUGUAAGACCAGAGAAUCUGGAGAAGGAAGAGCCAUCAAGACAGAAAAAUGGAUGCGUUUUGGUUCCGAAAACAUUACGGAUUGAUGAUCCAAGUGAAGCUGCAAAGAGUUCAAUAUGGGCAACGCUCGGGAUCAAGAACGAUUCCAUCAGUGGCAAAGGACUGUUCAAGGCCUUCCAACCAAAGAGUGAUCAAAAGAAAACUGUCCCUGAAACCUCCCCCGCAAUGCGAGCAAAUCCAGCUGCAUUGUCUAGAUCCCUCAACUUUCACGAGAGCUCAUGAAGUAGCUAGCUAGCCAAGUAGCCAUGAGUUUUGACAGGUACCCCAUCCAGCUGAGGCCAUUUUAGUUGAGCUGGUCGAAUCGGGGAUGCAGAAUUGGAGGGGCAGUCUCUACUCUCUAGGGUUCCUCAGUAUGAUAGGGGAACUAAUGUAGGAUAAAGCGCUUGUGGGAGAUUGGUUCCCACUAGGAUAAAUCUCUAGUGGCAACUAUUUUUGCCUUCUUGCGCUAUGCACAGGUCCCUUCUGAUGUACUUAGUUUUUCUGAGAUUAUGUCCAUGUACGUAUCUAUGUCUCUAUAUAUGUGAAAUACUAUGAUAGAAUUGGUUGGAGAUCCAAAGAUCUUUCUAUUCUCUCUUUUCUAUUUUCUUGGGGGCCAAGGAAAAGAGCGUUCUACAACAGAGAUGCUACUAUGGCAGUAUUUUAAACUAAUCAAGAAGUGUUGUGUUUGACUCUUGUAAGUAAUACUAGUUUAUUAGUUUGAGAUACCGUCACAGUGACAUUUCCAUUGUAGUUAAUCUGUUGAUCCAUCCAUGCCUUGGUGGCUACUCUUGUGGGGCAAAAAUGGAGAUGGCGACAAACCAACAAAAUUGUUCUUUUUAGUCCCUUUCCCUUUGUAAGAUAAGCUUGAAUUAAAUUCCUAGCAAGGGCCAAAUUGCUUUCCUUUUCACCACCAAAGGAUCUGAACAACUUGCACAAAAGUUCGGUUGCAGACUGUCCGAUAUUAUCUUGAUCUCCUUUUUCUCCCUGUUCUCUUUUGAGAGAUUUUUCAGUGUGUGUUUGGAAUACAGGAUGAUACAAUACAUGUUAUUAUACAAUUGAAGGAACAUUUGGAGGAACAUGCGGUGUACUGUCCUAUAUUCCGGAUACACUAAAAAAUUUCUCGUACUCUUCUCGUUUAGAAAACAAUUAUGUUCAACCACUAAGAAAUAAUAAAUCAACACAAUUAUAGAAGCCAAAAAUUGCCAACCUACAUAAGAAGGAAAUUUUGAAACAAUGCCAUGGUAUGGUAUUCUACCAAAGAGUCUUGUAUCGUAGCUUCAAUUCUCAAUUAUGCGUUCGUGGUCUUUUUAGCAAAAAUUGUCUCGUAUAAAUUGAUGCUAAAAAAAUCAUAUUUUUUUAACACAUAACGGGAUAAUUUGAAGCUAUGAUCAAAGAUUCUGGUAACCUUAAUACAUGUGUUCAACCCUCGAUUUGAUUUUAUAAAUAUAUAUGUUUGAUUCUUUUUUCAUUGAUUUCUAUAAAUAUAUAUAUGUUCGACCCUUUAUUCAAGUCUAAACGACUACUCGUUAAAACAAGUCAUCUCAGACAUAUGCCUCUCACUAGCCAGUGACAGAAACUGGGGAUGUUUCUCCUUUGAUAAGAAACUACGGAUGAUAGGAUUACUUGGUGAAAUACAUCUUUACCUAAUUUCUUUGCAAAGCAAAUCGUUAGAUGCAUCAACAUCACAGAUAGAUGUGUCUCUCAAAACAAUCACCAAUUAAAAAACACACAGAUAUUUGGGUGCAACAAGCAAAUGCAGGCCGCAUUUUUUGGUAAAGAUGAGUUGUUAUAUGGGACCCCAAUUCCACACAUAAUGCCAUGUAUAUUUUGGCGUUCUCUAUCUCUUGAUCUGAAGAGCAAUUUAUACAGUACGAGUUCGAUGUUAUAUGGCGUUUUGAUCUGAUGAUGCAAUGCUAUGUGGAGAGGAAUUUAUGCAUAAUAUUGUGUUAUUGAAUCAAACGCAAUAAUAACGAUAAAUCUGUUCUAUAUAAGUCAUUAUCCUGUCUCGCUUUCGCUUUUCUAUUUUUUUCUUCCUUUUUUGCUCUUUUCCUUCAUCAUAUACGAAAGCAAUUGUCCCUCUAUUUUCAUCCAUAUGCCUAAUUUUAAUGCUUGUCUGGGAGACAAAAGAAGAUACAAUGACAGAAGGUUUUUGAAUAUUUUCUGGAUCACAACUCUCUAGCCAUAUGGUUUUUGAUUUUUAAUGUCGACUAGAUAUUGAACACAACCUUAUAUCUACAGUGCAUGGAUAUGAACAGGGAGAUACAACACGACACGACACAGGGAUACGUCAAAUUAACAAGAAAAAUUAAUUUAUGAUCACAAGAGAUUACAACAUGACACAAAGAUAUGACACAACACGAUAAGGCACUGGGAUACGAGAGGAUACCACCAUGAUCUUGCAUUGCACUCUUACAUGUUCAACUUUAUUGAGGAUACAAAAUUAUAGUGGCAAACUUGGUAAUGUUGCUAAAUAAUGGUGUUUCCAAAUAUGAGAAAUUGAGCCUUCCUUCUAACUAAAAACCCAAAAAGGUCUCUUUGUAGAGAACUGAAAAAGGAAGAGAAAAGGUUUGGUUAAGUCAUGUCAUUUAAGCUCCAACAGACUAACAUGGAGCUCUUCCAUUUUUCUUAAAAACCUCCCUCUCAAGGCUUGACAAUAUGACUACAUUUUACAAGGGAAAGAGCAAAAAGAAAGAAAAACUCUUAUAAAAAUCUUAAUCCCUAGUCUAAUCCCAUCACUAAUCCUCUCACCUCGAAUGCUCAUGCCACUCGUCCGUGCGUGCACGAAGUGACUCAUUUAAGUAUUCAAUCAAAUUCUUUUUUUAAUGAAACGAUAAUAAAGAAUUAGGCAAGUCGAACUACACAAAACACUUGAUUGCCGGAUUAUAAUAAUAGCCUUACUAUCUAAACCUGCACAAGAUGAUUAAUAGGCUAGAUUAAGCAACAACGUAUCAUUUAGUAAUUGAUUAAUGCUGAUAUUUGAGUAACAGAAUGUCAGGUUAGGUAGAGAGCCACUUGUAAUUGUUUUGCUCAUUUUUUUUAAUCAUGGUGGAUUCUUAACAAACCAACCAAGUCUUCUUGCAUGUUAAUUAUUACAGCACCAAGUUACAAGUUACAUGUAGUUUUACCAUCUCCCAUUUGGCUCAAUUCAUAAAUUCAUGUCCUCUUCCUUGGAAGGAAAAAAAGUGGAUUAAAAUUGUAGGUUUACACCUCCAUGUUUAGGUGAUUUUUAAAAUGAAUCGUGACGGUUCAAUUUUCUCAUAUUAUUCAUUUUCUAAGAUUUUGAAAUUGUAUCAAUUAACAUUUUUUGGAUAUUAGAUAUUUGAACGUUUAAAUAUCCGUUAAGUUGAUGAGUUUUUUAGUUAAUAUGAUGCAAAUGAGUUUACAUGUAAUCGUAAUUAUGGAUUUCAUCCUCAUUAUGUUAUUAAUUUACUGAAGAUUCAAAUAAUUCGUUAUAAAAAAUGAAUAAAUUAAUACAAUUUUAAAAUAAAAAGUGUGAAAUUUUGUUUAAAAAAACAUGUGUGAACUGUAUUUAGCCCAAAAGGUCAAGCUCAUUGAAUUUUAAAAGUGGCUUUUGGUAUGAUGGGAGUCAUUGUCAAUCUCCCACUAUUCUAGUGCUCUUUUUAUUAUCAUUCAAAGUCAUCCAAGUUGCAUAGAAUGAGGGGAAAUUUGGCUUUACACGCAUAGUGAUUUAUCAAAAGCAGUACAUUAAGUAUAAUAAUAAAAAUUUGAAAACUUAAUAAAAAAAAAAAAAUUCCAACUAAUUUGGUAUACAGGCCUGAUUUGGUACUGAGGUGAUUCUGAAAAAAACUGGUAUAAAAAAAAGCUGAGAGCUGUUUUUUGUGUUUGGUAAACAUUUAGCUUCAGCUUUUUUUCAUAGUUUUGUGUGAAAAAAAAACCAAAAACAAGAAACUGUUGUAAAAUCGACGGUGGGUGCAGUGGAAUAAAUGAAACAAGACACAAAAUUUACGAGGUUCCUCUACAGUCAGUGUGACUGGAGUACGUCCUCGGGGCAGCUGUGAUGCUUUCAUUAUAAUCUGAAAUAAUAGGAGUACAAAGAUAACUCUCUCUAUUAUCUCCUCUCAUCUUCCUCUAUUCUCUCUCUUCCUCUUCCUUUCUUCCUUUUCCUUCUUCUCUCCCGUGAACCUCACUCACUUCAUUCAUCUUCUUCCUUUAUAUAAACAAAAGAAAGCACUAUUCACUUUACAAAUUUUCCACAAAUGAAUAGUGAAAAUACUGUGCAUAAAUAGUAACAAACUAUUCAUGUGGACCAUCCACAUAAUAUUUACAACACUCCCCCUUGGAUGGCCACAAGUCUUCGAUUGACUCGUUAAAAUCUUGAUCUGUCUUGGAUGCUCCCCCUGAUGAGUAUCUCCCCCUGAUCUCAAAUCAUUUAGGUUGAUCGUUGAUUGUUCUGCUUUAGUCCCUUAGUAAGAAGAAUUGCUAAAAGAGUUGCUUUACUUAUUGUUAACUUUCCACAGCCUUUUUCUUGAACUGGGUUGUAGGACUUUCUGCUAGACUAGCAUUGAAGAUCGGAAUUUACUCCUUUUAUCUGGAGCGGAAUUUGAUUCAAGAGUAAUGAACACUUGAUCUUGAAUCGGACUUGUAAUUUCUUUAAGGACCUUCGAAGCUGGAUCUUGAAUGAAAUUGGACCAUGAGGAGCUUCAUGUGGCAAGUGAUCUUCAGUUUUGUCAGGGAUGAAUCAGCACGCGUUUGUUGCGCUUGUCUCCACAUGCUUCAAUGUAUCAUUUUUACUUUCCUUACUUGCUCCCCUUGCUUAAGUAGUAUUUUCCCUGCUUUUCCCCCAUGCAUGUGUGGCAUCUUCUCCGGCAGUAUUUGCCCUCUAAUGCCGGAGUGGAGUGCAACCCUUGCAUUUGGAUGGUUCAUCACUUCUUGGUGACUGGAGACCCAGCUCCAACCGUUGAAGAUGACUACUCGAGAGCAACAUUAGGUAAGCAAUCAGGAAAGGUUCCAGGCAGUCGGUUCCUUACCGGGAGUUUGAGUGGAGGUUUCGACAUAUUGCUUUCUUUAUCCUUGUCUUCGCAGGCAAGAACAUGGACAAAGGAAAGGACAGGGAGAUUGCAUGAUAUGAGAUAAUCUUGCUCUGGUCCCUGAAGAUAUGUGAUAAUCUUGCUCUGGUGUGACAUGUUUGAAGAGGUAUUCUCGGAGAGGAAGAAAACUGAGUAUUUCGAGAUGCUAUGUUGAAGAUGCAUUCUCGGAGAUGAGGAAGAGUUAGGUAUUCUUGCAGAGUUGCAGGUCUGCCUUGUUAUGAAGAACAGAGGUCGACAUAUAUAGAGAUUUCCCAAUAGCAAGUGGUGGUGCUGUGCUUUUACUCUUGUCAGCAACUGUGGUGUAAAUAGAACAGUAAGAUUUAUUUACGCGGUUUCAAACUUUGUCAGAGAUCUUUGACAAAAUUGCACGCGACAUCUGAAAAAGUUGGGAUUACGUCUGAAAAAUGCCAACGAACUUUAUUCAGGAAAAUCUGGCUUUUGAAAUUCGGAGAGCGGUGCCUCUUCGAUCUUUGAACAAGUGGCUCUGCUGCCUCUUCUUUUAUAGAGACAUCAAUUGUGUUCAAGGGUAUGCUCAGAAAGUUGCUGCCUGAGAAAUUUCCCCCUUCUUGCAUUUCUGAAAUUUUAUUUGACCUCUGUUUUUCCUUCAUCAUUUCUGAAAAUGACUUGCCCAUCUAACAUUUGCUUAGAUUUGAGUCUUAGGAGUGAUACAGACGAGCAGCGUCAUGAUAAUAUAUGGCGCCCGUCCUUCUUAUCUUCUAAUGGUCCUCUUACGGUUGGGGACUCUGUGAUGAAGAAUAACAUAACUGCUACUGUGGUAGCUAGGAAUCUUCUCACUCCAAGGGAUAACAAGAUCCUUUCAGAACGGUCUGAAGAGUCGGCCGUUCAAGACUCAUUGGCUCUCAGUGUUCAGUGUGCUGGCUCUGUUUCCAAUAUGGGUCAACGCCUACUUGCUCAAACUCGCCAAGUUGAAUUAUUGAUGGCGGAGGUGGCAAGUCUUAAACAAGAGAUCAGAGGGCUCAAACACGAGAAUAGGGUGUUACACGUGCUUGCAAAUAGUUACUCUACGAGCAUGAAAAGAAAGCUCGACCAACUGCAGGAAUCUGAAAGUCGAAUUCAAAGUGAUCACCAGAGGUUUGUUGCUAGAUUCCGAAAGCAACUGAUGCCUUCCCCUUCUGGUGUUUUGCUAAGUAUUGGGGUGUCACAUGAUCAAUCUCCAGUGCCUCCUCCUUCUGGGGUACUUCCGAGUACUGAGGCUGCACAUGAGUAACCUUUGUGAAGGCUCCAUCCUGUUUGUUUAUUUUAACUCAUGUGUAUGUAUAUAUCUGUAAUUUCUUGGAGAUAUUAAUAAAUAAGUUUUAUUUCAUUCAAUGUAUUGUGCCAAAUACAAUAAAGCAUAUACUUCACUAAGAUGUGGUACUUCUGGACCAAGUAUUAAUUUAUCUUUACCCUCACGAAGAUAAAUGAUUAUUCUUAGUGUCUUCAUCAUAUGAGUAUUCAACUCAUAAUCUUCAAUCCAUAUGGUUCUUUUAAUAUCAUAAAUAUCAUGGAUAAGAUUCGUGUUGGUAGAUUGUUCGAUCUGCAGCUCGAAACAAUAAUUCCUUCAACACUUUAUAAUUUUUCUAGACUCUUCAGGAGUCCCAAUUUAAUAUCAUCAACUCUUCAAGAGUUAUAAUGUAUUGUCAUUGACUCUUGCAAGAGAUUUUAGUAUGUUGCAACAAUAUCAUAAUGAUAGUACUCACUAAGGCAAUUUAUAUCAUCCAUUGAUAUUGAGUAUAUAAUUUAUGCUUUACCCUUCGGGGGCUUACUUCAAGCAAUUUGAAUCCUUCAGGGAUUUUCUACACUUCAUGACACAUUUUCCUUUGGAAUUUAUACAGAGCAAUUUGCUCCCAUGUAUAUUUGAGGGAUUUACUUAUGGAGAUAUGAUGUGGGUGACUCACAACCCUUCAUAUAUAAUUCUCCAUUUAUAUGAACUCGUUUACAACCUUGUGUCAUAUCAUGUAAGUGUAUUACACUGUAUUACAAAUGCUCAUAUAUAACCUCAUUGGUUCAACAUCUUUUGGCUAUUUGUAUUACAUUCAAAUAUAUAGGUCCAUUUUUCCACGUUCUUACAAAAUUGUAAUGGAAUUGCCUUUCUCCAUUUUGGCCAAUAAUUUUUCUUUUGUCGACGAACAAAAGAACGUGACUCAAUAUUAACACAUCUCAUUGAUGAAUUUAGUAGCUACUUGUAAAAACCAAAAUUACCAUUGGUUAUCAUCAAUCCGUGAUCCCAUAUUCUCAUGUGCAUGCGCAUGCAUAAAAGCUUUUCAUUUCUUUGGAUAUCCAUUACCUCUUCAAGGGCAUGACGCUAUCUCUUCCAGGAUAGUCAUAAUUGAGAGAAUGUGGAUCAUAACCUCCUCUUGAGCGUUAUAGAGCUUGGAUUUUAAUCUCCACUUCCGGGAGUUGAGUCAUUGGAACCUAUAUGUCUAUUAUGCUUCAUGUAUGAGACAUCAACAUUCUCAUGUCUGUGGAUUGUCCUAUCUGGGACGUGUAUCCAUGCGGCGACUGUCAUGCUUCUGGCAUGCAACAGUUAUGCUUCGGGAAUGCAAUAGUUCAGUAGUGCCAUAUUAUUCUUCUUUCGAAUAACUGAACCUUUUGAGUUUAAAAAUCUGCCACGCUUCAGGCGUGCAACAGAUAAAUCAUUUAUUGUCUCAUUAUUUUAUCCAACAGAGACAUCAAUUCUUGUAGGCACAUUUGCAGUAAGUAUAUAUGAUUUCAUCACUUUCGUUGCAUCAUUCAAUUAUUCAUAUUUCAUUUUCUUAUUGAUUGCUUCGUGAAUCAAAAUAAGACAAAUUCUCUUCGUUCUUCUGAAACGGUCUUUUCUCAUCAUUCUUUUGGAAUGAUAUUUUCUCAUCGUUCUUCUGGAACGAUAUUAUUUUCUCCCCCUAAUGGCAGGAAAAUUGUCUUAUCAAAAUGACAGUCCGCAAACCAUGCGGUAAACAUAUCCCCAAUCAAGAAUUCCAAAUAUUGAAUGAUAGAUGGUGUUCAACAUCAAUGCCUAAUCUGCAAUGAUGCCCCAUUUCAGUACGUUGUGGCAGUCUUACAGGCACAUAGACAACACAACCAAAAACUCGUAAAUGUAUAAUGUUUGACUAGUUCCCAAACACGAGUUGUACUGAGCAAUAUUGAUGGUUGGAAAUUGGUCUCAUCCGAACUUAAUAAUGCGUCAUGUAAAAUGACAUGUCCCCAUGUAGAAAACUGGUAAUUUCGUUUUCAUGAGCAGAGCGCGGGUAAUCAAUUUCAUCCGCUUAAUAAAUGCUUCUGCUAAACCAUUUUAAGUAUGGACAUAAGGAACUUCUGGUCCUUAUUAAAUAGUUUAUGAACUGAAACUUUUAUGACAUUUAUUAUAAUUAAGUUGAGGCACUGUGGCACUUCAAACUUAAGGCACUCAUCAAGGAAUUUCAUGUCCUGAUCGUCAGGAUCAAAGGACUUCAUGCCUGAUCUUUUUGUAUGAUGGAACUUCGGGUCCAAUCAUUUUAUAUGAUGAUGAUCAAGAAACUGCAGGUUCUGAUCUAAUCAAGGAACUCUGGGUCCUUGUUAUACUCAUUGUAAUAAAAGAUAAGUACAAUAAAUAAAUUAAAGCAAUAGACGGUAAUUCCAACCAUAAUGAAUAAACAGCAUUUAAGUAAAUAAAGCUUAUGACAAGGGCUUUAAUUCAGCACCAUCAAAACUUAAAGCAAUAGGCGGUAAAACCGUCCAUGGUAAAUAAAUUGCUUUAAAGUAAAUAAAGCUUGUGACAAGGGCUUUGAUUCAGCACCAUUCAUAUAAAUAUCAAAGCUUUAAAGCAAAGGGUAAUAAUUCUACCCACUAUAAAUAAAUUGCUUUAAAUAAAUAGAACUUGUGACAUGGGCUUUAAACCAACACCAUGCACAUAAAUAUGCCAAAACAGAAAAUGCAAUGAUUAAGUCCUCAUGUUUUGCUUUUCAUUUUCUUGGUCUGCCACUUCUUUUGUUUCAUCCCUUUUAUUUUUAUUAUUAUUUCACAGUUCGAAGUCAUUUUUGGUUACUCAGUAAAUAAUAGUAACAAUAAGUUCCAAUUGGGGUUCCUCCUCCGGUGAGUUUCGAAAAAGUCGAAACGGUUCCCAUAAGUUUUGGAGUCAAGAGUGUCUGCAACUUAUGAGAAGAUCAAACCGUUAGAUUUAGUUCAAAAUUUAGUAUGAUAUGGAUAAGAGGAUACCAAACAACUUUCGUGAAGAAACAAUUUCGAUUUGAGCUACCGAAAUGGAGUUUUGGUACUCAUAAGGUGGCUGCCCAGUUUUCUGCGGAAAUUGGAAACUGGUUUGGUAUUUCAGACAUCUGCCACGAUCGCACCGUUAACAUUUUCUGAAAUUUUGAUAUGUUGUAGAUACUGAGCAGACGAACAACUUUCAAGAAGAAAGUAUUUCAAUCCGAGGUCCGCAAGUUGGAGUUCCGAGGCUAUUUACAUGGCUGUCAAAUUCUCUUACAAAUUUUUAGUCUUUUACUCUUUUGCUUCUGCAAAGGAUGAUAUACAGUCAUAUAACAAUAUAUAUAGUUGCUUCAAGAAAAUCAAUUGUACUGAGAUUUGAAGAUGAAAUGAAAAUUGUUUCUUAUCUGUGAGAUUCCAGCUGAAGGAGGUGAACAGGAUUUGUGGCGUUGUGCUUUCCACUGACAUGAGAGCUUCUCGUGCUGAUAACGUGUUGUAAAAUCGACGGUGGGUGCAGUGGAAUAAAUGAAACAAGACACAAAAUUUACGAGGUUCCUCUACAGUCAGUGUGACUGGAGUACGUCCUCGGGACAGCUGUGAUGCUUUCAUUAUAAUCUGAAAUAAUAGGAGUACAAAGAUAACUCUCUCUAUUAUCUCCUCUCAUCUUCCUCUAUUCUCUCUUCCUCUUCCUUUCUUCCUUUUCCUUCUUCUCUCCCGUGAACCUCACUCACUUCAUUCAUCUUCUUCCUUUAUAUAAACAAAAGAAAGCACUAUUCACUUUACAAAUUUUCCACAAAUGAAUAGUGAAAAUACUGUGCAUAAAUAGUAACAAACUAUUCAUGUGGACCAUCCACAUAAUAUUUACAACAGAAACUGCAAAACCCAGCUUUGAAAAACUGACUUUUUUCAUAUCUAUUUUACAUAAAAGUUUACCAAUCACUAUAAUACUGUUUUUUUUUUUCAAAAGCACUUUUACAAAAAAAUUUAUCAAACACUCUGCUGUUUUAUUUCACAGCCUAGCAGAAUCAAUUUUUUUUUUCAAAUAACAGCUUUACCAAACCAGAAUCGUGUUUUUAAUACACUAAAAAAUUUCUCCUACACGCAUGUAAGCGAUGGAUAACUGUUAUUACUGUUAAACAAGUACCUACCAAAAAUACGGGCCGUCUAUUUGUCUAGUGCGUCAAUGGGAAGAAGGAAGAAAAUGCUGAGACAAAAUUCUCAUAUAUUAAAAGGUAAGGGAUGACAUUCUGUGCAACUUGAUACAAAUAUUUCCCAUCCAAUUGGGAGACACAUAUAGCAAUGCUAGUCUCCAGUUUCCCCUUCUAUCUUAGGAUAAAUUCUACGACAAGUUACACAACAUCUUAAAUUGUCAUUGGAUUCUACAUCCCCCUGAAUCUUGUCCACGACGGACAUUGCCAUAGGCUGACAGUUCGAGAAGAUCCAUGUCACGACCUGCAUUUCAAAGCAAUACACUGUCACUUGCUACUAAAUUAGUUUGAAUUCAUCGCUGGAAGAACUUCCACAAGAUUUUGGGGUUUCUUGGGCUUACCUGAAACCCGACAAUAAGAACUCUUCUGGAUGAGCUCGGCUCUAGAAAACUCAGUCCGAUUUCCUUUUGAUCGAUUGACUGUUGCCUACAGUAUGCAAGAGAAGAUGAUUUUAUUAAGAGUAAGAUGUAACAUAUAAAAUUCAUGGCAAACGUCGGUUUCAAUCAUGAUCUGAAAUUUGAAUGCGACUGUAGAGUGCCAGACUUCAUAUGAAAGGAAAAUGAGACUUUGUGGAGAUCGGUCUAAGUUGUUAAGAAUCCUAAGAUAACUCUAGUAGUGUAGGUAUUUUGGCAGCCUUUUGAAGGUCAGCAAUAUAGAGUAGGAAUCUACUGUGUGCUAACAUCUACUGGUGAAGGGUUUCUAUGGAAUGGAGAUACCACCCAAAACCAAGAUACAAAAAUCGUGUAAUAGUCCAAGGUUCCAAAGAGGAAGGAAGUCCAUACCUGUAAGACCUGGCAAUUUUCGAGCGUACUUUGUCCUCCCUGAAAUGUGAAAAUAAAAAAGAUUAAUCCUCUCUCCGAAAGUAAUUUCAGGGAUCAGGAGCCUGGGGAAAACAAAAUAAAGAAUUACAUGUUCAGCUAUCAAGAUUAUCAUAUUAAAUUGGGAUGACACAGCAGCCCAUUUCUGAGCUCCUUGUUUCCUCUAACCAAGAGCAGCACAAAAGUCCACAGAACGAAACAUCUUUGGUGUUGGUUUCCAGACUUUGUCACAAAUUUGCGGCACCAAAACCAGUACAUUUAUGAGUUCACCAUAACUUUUCAAUCUGCACGAAACAGAUUGCAGAACAACCUUCUUCUUGAAAUGUGCUAAGUCGCUCCUUUUUCAAAACUAAUGUCUCAGCCAAUGCAUAUUCAUCACUGGAUUAUCUUCUAGUGCACUGUCAAUCGACUCAAUCCUAAUCAUUUGGAGCCAAGUUGGUAAAAAAUGCACCAGUGAAUCAAGCCUGCAUUACAGUCAGGUGAAAUGAUCUAGAAAAUGGGAUUGAAUCUCAAUAUUCCUCAAAGGCCUAAACAAAUCCUUCACCUAUAUUUGUAUCACCAUGAUUAACCAUAUUCUAUCACAGGCUAGUUUGAAUUCACAUAAUUCCACAACACUGGUCAUGCCACCCUGCCGCUCUCCACAUCUAUGGUCGCCAUCUAAAAUGAAAUUUGGGACCUCGUAGUCAUUCUGCUCAAUCAACUGCCAUAACAACUAACAAGACUCCAAUUUACCUUACAUGCAUUUUCCAUCAAAGGUGAGAAAAGCUUUCUACCUAAGCUUGUACUAGUACCUAUCACCUCCAGUAUCGUGCGUGCGUAUAUUCAAGUAGCAGUUUCAUAUAACCAUGUUCGCUUAUAUAAUAAGCAACGGCUGACUACAUAGCUACAAAAUAGCUCAACUUUGACAGCAGCAUUACUAAAUGUAUGAAAUUCAAUAGCACAAGCAUUUCCAAAUUGCAUCUUCUUUCCAUACAGAAUGCUAAAAAUUCCACCCACAGAAAUUAUAAGAUUCUAUGGGAAAAGCCACCAAACAAAAAGCAAAGAAAUUUGAAUUUGUAAAUAUCAAAUGCACCCCAAAAACAGAAACUCAAUUUCCAAAUCCAAAAGGAACCCACCUCACAAAACUCCAAUCACAAACCAAACCACUCAAAAAUCCAUAAAAAUGUGAAAUUUAGAGAGAAAGAGAGGAAUUUCACCUUGGAGUAAGGCACAAUGUGAUCAUAAUCAUGACAUAAGCAACCGGGGCAACCCACGAGCUUCCGAAAAAUGGUGUUUCCGAGAGGGUCACGGCGCCACCGGUCCGGGUCUCGACCUUUGAUCUUCUCCGCCUUGUCCCAGCACUGCUGCUUCACGCUGUACGGAAAGCUUCGUGGGUUGUUAUUAAAAGAAGAAGAAGUCGCGAGCUCUUCUUCGAAGCGAGUAGUGGCAGUGACGUCGGUGACGACGAGGUCCCGAUUGAGAAGAGCGGAGGCGCGAGGCUUCGGUGGGGAGCUGCUACGUCGUUCGAAACGGGCGGAGGGCGCGGCGGUUCGGUCCCUGAGUGGAGACGAAGGGCGGCUCCGCCUCUUUGACUCUUUGCUCGGCCUCAUCUUUUCUCAGAUCUUUUCUCAGAUUAUCACAAAACUGGAAAAUUUGGAAAAUUAAGCCAUCCGUAAAUGUAAAAGACGAUAAUACCCCUUAAUGUAUUUGUGAAUUGGUAGGAUAGAAACGACGCUAUCUAUUAGAGGAUUAAUUACAGCUGCAUUCCUUAAAACUCGAUUUCUUCUUACUUUAUUCUAUGAAACUCAAAAUGUCUUUCAUUUUGUCAUGAUAUGUGAAGAAGUUGAGAACGUUAUUAUCAUGGAAAAUGUGAGUGAAGAUGAUGAGGAUUUGUUCAUUUUUAUUUGUAUUGUGUGUUUGUUUGCCACCCGCUCACAAUGGGUGAGGCGCCCUACUAACCCUAGUAUGAUAGGACAUGUUUAACGUGACUUCACAAAAGCAGUGAAUAAAUUUCAAAUAUUAUGCCUCACUUGAUCAUAGCUCAAUCACUCAUCAAUCGUUUUAAUGUCCUGCUUAGUUACUGUGAACACGGAAAAUUCCUGAAACGAAAGAGACAAGAACAACGUGCACAAACAAAAUAUUAGUAUUUGAUGAUUUUGGGUUACAAUCUCUCUCUAAUUUGAUCCUCUGAUUCGAUCUCCGUAAGGUGUUGAUUUGUGGAUGUUUCGUUGAUCCAAGGGCCGUCGGGGCUUGAUCUUGGAUGAACUGUUGGAAGUUUCUUCAAAGGGCCGUGGGCUUGAUCUUUGAAGGUGGAUUUGAGCGGAUCUUCAAGGGCUUUUGGGCUUGAUCUUGAAGAAACAGUGAUGAACAGAUCUUCAAGGGCUUUUGGGCUUAAUCUUGGAUGAACUGUUGGAAGUUUCUUCAAAGGGCCGUGGGCUUGAUCUUUGAAGGUGGAUUUGAGCGGAUCUUCAAGGGCUUUUGGGCUUGAUCUUGAAGAAACAGUGAUGAACAGAUCUUCAAGGGCUUUUGGGCUUAAUCUUGGAUGAACUGUUGGAAGUUUCUUCAAAGGGCCGUGGGCUUGAUCUUUGAAGGUGGAUUUGAGCGGAUCUUCAAGGGCUUUUGGGCUUGAUCUUGAAGAAACAGUGAUGAACAGAUCUUCAAGGGCUUUUGGGCUUAAUCUUGAAGAACGGUUGGAUGUGUGGAUUUGUCGACGUUUGUUGAUCCAAAGGGCCGUUGGGGCUUGAUCUUGAAGGUGGAUGAUUGUUGAUCCAAGGGCCGUCGAGGCUUGAUCUUGGAAGAACGAUGAACGAAGAACGAAGAACACUUUCUUGAUUCUUCGGGAACCUGGAUGCUUGAGAGCUUCGGAGUUUCAGAGCUUCAGAGCUUCAAGGUGUAAUAUGAAUUGGUUCCUCAAAUGAAUGAAAUGGGCUUGUAUUUAUAGAAUUUUCCAAGGCCUAAUUUUGAAUAUAAUAUCCCAGAUGAAAUAAGUCGUUUCUGCCAGGUGUUGACACGUGUCCUAUUUGAUGACUUUUCCAACUCAUUUCAAUUUUCGUUGAGUUACACGCUACGUGUAAAAUUUAUGUAAUACAUGAGCGUUGACACUUUGAUUUAUCGGUCAAUACCGAAAUUUCGAUGUCUACAGUUACAAGUCUACGCUACCAGACUCAAUAGAAUUUGGUCAUUUUUACUUGGGAAGGAAGUUAGUGAUGAACAGAUUCAACGUCCAUUGUUUUUUUAGUUUUGUCCUACAAAAUCCCUUUACUAAUAUGGGUAAUGAGUUCGAUGACAUUGUAAAGGGCUCUUGCCCCAUUUUUUACCAUCGAAUUCUAAGAAGGUCUGACGAUUUUUCGUCGGCGAAGAUGGCGGGUCAUAUAAAAUUCAAGACUGAAAUUUCGACCUUGGAUAUAUUUUGGCUUCUUAACAUUGUGCUCACAAGUCUUCUCUCGGCAAAAGAAGACUUGAGAGAUUAAUUUAACUUCUUUUUCACACUUGAAAUUUCUCUGCAAUUUGGCCUUUCCUGCAUGGGAAUAUGAUGCAUGCAAAGACCUGGAAAUUUCCAUGACGUAACGACUGAUGCCUAAUAAAUUAACAAAGAAGAGACAACUAGUAGCAACUCAACAAACUUUCUCUGCAAUUUUGUAUGAAAUUUCCUUCACUUUCUCAAAAUUCCUUGGAAACUUAUAAGCAACUCUUUAGGUCUGUACAAACCUACCUCCGUUCUGCUUCCCACACUCAACCCUCAAGUCUCUCAACACUCCCAAGUCGUAAUUAAUUAAUUUACGAGCGGUUUAAUUAAGCAAUCUCUCUACUCUUUUAUUUCGACUCGCUAGUUUUCUUCCCACCCACGACAUGGAGAAGGCGAUGAACGAAGGCAUCGGAUGCAGCCCCGUUUCACUUGUUGCACUUCUCUCAGUCCUAAUCAUUCUUAACUGGCUCAUUGUACUGCACUUCCAAUCGAAUUUACGCUACUUGUUUUUAUGUUUCCUUUGCGAAGUUAUGCAGGUUAAGACCAUUUUCCAAAGAAGUUGCACUGAUGAGAAAGUAUGUGAGCACAAACCAUCCAAAGGAGUUGAAACCAACUCUACAACAAGUUCUGAUCAAGUCCCCUCGAUUCAUGCCGCAGAGAUUAGUUACACUCGCGAAAAUGUUGUAGAUGGAAAAAAGAAUCUGUGUUUAGGAGAACUAGGACUAGUGAUGGAGAAACUAGAAACAUUAAGUGAGGGGGAGGGAGGCUCGAAGGAGAUUGCUAACUUGUUUGAGGAGGUCCCAAGCUUGGAGGAAGUAAAAGAAGCUUUUCAUGUGUUUGAUGAGAAUGAGGAUGGAUUCAUUGAUGCCGGGGAGGUAAAGAAGGUUCUCUCUGUAUUGGGUUUCGUUGAAGCUUCGGAAGUGGAAUGCGAAAGGAUGAUCAAGUCGUUUGAUGAUAACGGAGAUGGACGCAUAGAUUUCAAUGAGUUUGUUAAGCUCAUGGAGAACAGCUUCCGCUGAGUUACCAACAUAAAAUGUUCACAGAUUUUGGUUAAAUGAGUUGCUAAAGCCGCUCGCAUCCUUCUCUUUCUUUCUUUCUUUCUUUCUUUCUUUCUUUCUUUCUUUCUUUCUUUCUUUGUGUUAGUUUUAGGUGCCUUGUCAAAGCUUUGAGUAUGCCUUUAGGCUCUUAUAAACGAUUUAAUUGCUUUCAUGCGUGUCAUUGUUGGCCUAGUUUUAGGUGCCUUGUCAAAGUUUCGAGUAUGCCUUUAGGCUCUUAUAAACAAUUUAAUUGCUUUCAUGCGUGUCAUUGUUGGCCAAGAUCAACAUAUUGAUUGUUUCGUAAGUAUUCGUCGAGCUUGUUUGCUUGCACGGCAACAAGUAAACUGGACUUCCUAUCAAGGAUUGUUUCAUGGAGGGGUUAAAUCCAUGUCAAGUUCUUUUUCAUGCCUUGGUGAUAAGGAAUUUUAUAACUCCGCCGUGUAAGUUUAUCUUACAUUGCCGGUCCCAAGCCCGGAUAAAGGAGGAGGGGGAGGGCGUCAGGUAGUCGACAGCCGGCACUCCAUGAUCACGUCGAAUCCUUAUGAAAAUGAAUCCAGAACGAAAUCGCGCUAAAGCUAGGGCGUCACCCGUAAGUGGCGCGCUGUGUGGCCCGAGCACAGUGAUAAGUGAGCAAGGGUCGCUGUAUCUCCAUCGGCACCCGGAUGCAGUGUUAAAUGAGCAAGGGGGCUAUAGAAACUUCUUUUCGAACGACUCCACUCAAAGUUGUUUGGGAGCAUAUGCUCCUAUCAACUUUACACGGGACACACAAAAGAAGUACUUUGAUCCUAUUAGACGGGGAAGGGUGAAGAAGCUAGGACAGAAGGGUAGAGUUCAAGAGAGCAAAAUGCGUUUAGGAACGUGGAAUAUAGGAACCUUGACGGGAAAAUCUAUGGAAGUAGUAGAAGUUAUGGUGAGGAGAAGGAUAAAUAUUAUGUGCCUACAAGAAACUAAGUGGGUUGGUUGUAAGGCAAAGGAUCUAGAAAACUCAGGGUUUAAACUAUGGUAUUCGGGCACAAAUAGAACGAGAAACGGUGUUGGCAUCAUCGUGGACAAGACCUUGACACAAGAUGUUGUAGAUGUCAAGAGGGUAGGAGAUAGAAUCAUGGCAAUCAAGAUUGUAAUAGGACAAGAACUUAUCAAUGUGAUUAGUGCGUACGCACCUCAAGUAGGGUUGGAUACGAGUUCGAAGGAGAAAUUUUGGGAAGACCUUGGAGACUUGGUGCAAGGAAUUGCUCAGACGGAGAAGUUAUUUAUUGGAGGAGAUUUAAAUGGACACGUGGGCAGGGAGACAGGCAACUAUGGAGGUUUUCAUGGUGGCCAUGGUUUUGGGGAGAGAAACGAGGAUGGGGAAGCUAUCUUGGAUUUUGCAAUGGCAUAUGAUCUCUUCUUAGCCAACACCUUCUUUAAGAAGAGAGAGAAGAACAUGUGAUCACCUACAAGAGUGGGUCGUCAAAAAACACAAAAUAGAUUUUCUUCUAAUGAGGAAAAGGGAUCGUAUAACUUGUAAGGAUUGCAAAGUUAUACCAGGAGAGAGAGCGUGGCUAAUCAACAUCGCUUGUUGGUGAUGGAUGUACAUAUCAAAAGAGUGAGAAAAAAGAACAAGACUUAGAAGUGUCCAAGGACUAGAUGGUGGAAUCUAAAAGAAGAAAAACAAGUCAUUUUCAAAGAGAAAGUAAUCACCCAGUGUGUGUGGGAUAGAGAGAGAGAAGCUAACCAAAUGUGGGAUUCCAUGGCUAGUUGUAUCCGAAAAGUAGCAAAAGAGGUAUUAGGAGAGUCCAAGGGCUUUGCCCCACACCAAAAGGAAUCUUGGUGGUGGAAUGAGGAGGUACAAGCAAAGGUGAAGGCUAAGAAGGAAUGUUGUAAAGCCUUAUACAAGGAUAAGACCGAUGAAAAUGGUGAAAGGUAUAGAAAAGUGAAGCAAGAGGCGAAGAAAGCUGUGAGAGAAGCUAAGUUAGCGGCUUAUGACGAUAUGUAUAAGCGACUAGAUACCAAAGAAGGAAAGUUGUAUAUCUAUAAACUAGCUAGAGCAAGGGAAAAGAAGACAAGGGACCUAAACCAAGUGAGGUGCAUCAAGGAUGAGGAUGGAAAGGUUCUUGCUACAGAGAAUGCGGUUAAAGACAGAUGGAAAGGUUAUUUUCAUAAUCUUUUCAAUGAAGGACAAGAAAUGAGUGCUUCUUUAGGGGAGUUGAGUAACUCAGAAGAGUGUAGAAAUUACUCUUUUUAUCGUAGAAUCCGGAAGGAAGAAGUGGUUGUAACUUUGAAGAAGAUGAAGCAUAGAAAAGCAGUAGGCCCAGACGAUAUACCAAUCGAAGUGUGGAAAGUUUUGGGAGAGACAGGUAUAACAUGGCUCACUGACCUUUUCAAUAGGAUUUUGAAAACGAAGAAGAUGCCGAAUGAGUGGCGAAUGAGCACUUUGGUGCCUAUCUACAAGAAUAAGGGCGAUGUACAAAAUUGCAUGAACUAUAGGGGUAUUAAGCUAAUGAGUCAUACAAUGAAGCUCUGGGAGAAAGUCAUUGAGCAUAGAUUGAGGCAAGAGACACGGGUUUCGGACAACCAAUUCGGGUUCAUGCCAGGGCGCUCAACCAUGGAGGCAAUCUAUCUCUUACGAAGAUUGAUGGAAAGAUAUAGAGAUGGGAAAAAGGAUUUACACAUGGUCUUUAUAGAUUUGGAAAAAGCGUAUGAUAGGGUCCCAAGAGACAUUCUUUGGAGGAUUUUAGAGAAGAAUGGAGUACGAGUAGCAUAUAUCCAAGCUAUACAGGAUAUGUAUGAAGGAGCAAAGACUGCCGUAAGAACUCAUGAAGGACAAACCGAAAGCUUUCCCAUAACUGUAGGAUUACAUCAAGGCUCAUCCUUAAGUCCUUACCUUUUUGCGUUGGUAAUGGAUGAGUUAACAGGACAUAUUCAAGGUGAUAUUCCUUGGUGUAUGCUUUUCGCAGACGAUAUAGUGUUGAUAGAUGAAACUCAGGAAGGGGUAAAUGCAAAGCUUAACCUUUGGAGAGAAGUGUUGGAAUCUAAAGGUCUUCGCCUAAGCCGAUCAAAGACAGAAUAUAUGGAGUGCAAGUUCAAUGCAAAUGGAGGCCAAAACGAGUUAGGGGUAAGGAUUGGAGAUCAAGAAAUACCAAAGAGCGACCGUUUUCGUUACCUAGGAUCUAUCUUGCAAAAGAACGGAGAAUUAGAUGGAGAUCUCAACCAUAGAAUACAAGCUGGAUGGAUGAAGUGGAAGAGUGUAUCCGGCGUGUUGUGUGACCGCCGUAUGCCACUGAAGCUCAAGGGAAAAUUUUAUAGGACGGCAAUAAGGCCGGCGAUGCUGUAUGGCACAGAAUGUUGGGCGGUGAAGCAUCAACACGUACACAAAAUGGGUGUAGCGGAGAUGAGGAUGCUUCGCUGGAUGUGUGGGCACACGAGAAAAGAUAAGAUUAGGAAUGAGGAUAUCCGGGGUAAAGUAGGAGUAGCCGAAAUUGAAGGAAAGAUGAGAGAAAAUCGGUUACGGUGGUUUGGACAUGUGCAAAGAAGGCCUACUGACGCUCCGAUUAGAAGAUGCGACUAUAGGACAGAGGUUCAGGGCCGAAGGGGUAGAGGAAGACCUAGGAAAACUUUGGAAGAGACCCUAAGAAAAGACUUAGAGUACUUGGAUCUAACGGAUGACAUGACACAGGACAGAACACAAUGGCGUUCUAAGAUUCAUAUAGCCGAUCCCACUCAGUGACUUGGAUUUUCCAAGUCUCCAACCGAGAAGUUUUCCUCACUCGGGAAAUUAAGGGAACACUACCUCAACCUAUAUGCUCCACUCACAAAGCUUCAACAUACAAGCUUCAACAAAAGAAAAUUAAAAAAACUUAGCGAAGAAGGCUUUGGUGUAUUUAACACAAUACGUUGAAAUGAAGAAAAGCUUAUUUAUUGAUAUCCUCGAUAAGUUACAAAUAUGUACAUAUACUUGAGUCAAAAUAAACAAACAAGAGGGAGCCUUCACAAAGGUUGCUUAGGAGAAGUCUCAGCAGUCGAUAGAGCCCCAGAAAGAGAAGGCACCGGAGGGGGAUCAUUCGGAGCCUCAGUACUGGACAAAACCCUAGAAGGAGGAGGCAUCAGAGGUUGAUCAUUUGGAGCUUCAUUACGCGGUACAGCCCCAGAAGACGAAGGCAAUAAAUGCCUUUGGAACAAACCCACAAAUCUCUGAUGAUCAAGUAAAACCUGACCAUCAGAUUCCUUCAUCUGGUCAAGCUUCCUCUUCAUGUUUGUAGCAUAGUCAUGUGCGAGCCGGUGCAACUGUUUAUUCUCAUGCUUGAGCCCUCUAAUCUCCUGUUUGAGACUCAUCACUUCAGCCGCCAAUGAUUCAACUUGGCGGGUUCGAGCAAAAUAGGCGUUGGGCCAUAUUAGACACAGAACAUGCACACUGAACACUGAGAGCCAGAGAAUCCUUAACAGCCAACUCAUCAGACCGUUUGGAAAGUAGUCUGUUAUCUUUGGGAGUGAGAAGGUUCCUGGCCACUACCGCAGCGGUCAUAUCAUUCUUCAUCAUGGAAUCCCCAACGGUAAGAGGACCAGUAGGGGAGACGAAGGAUGGGCGCCAUAUGUUGUCUGGAGAAGGCGGGGCUGCCUCUUCAACAAGGUUCAAGUCAAAACAACGGUCGGAGGGGCCAGACAUUUUCAAAUGUGUUGAAGAGAGAAGAGGUCGGACAAAUCAAGAUCUUAGAAGUGCAAGAAUUUAGCUUCUACUAGUGGAUCUUCAAGUGUGCUUUGGAACUUAAUGUCAGCCCCUAUAAAAAUCUGCACUCGACGAAGCUUCAAAAAUCGAAGAGGCGCCUGCUCAGAAAUCGAAGAUGCGUUUGCUUUCUCAAAAGCUGGGCUGCUCAGAGACCACGAGGGUCGAUCUCAGAAAUCGAAGAGGCGUUUGCUUUCUCAAAAGCUGGGCUGCUCAAAGACCACGAAUGCCGAUCUCAGAAAUCGAAGAGGCUUGCUUUCUCAAAAGAUGGGCUGCUCAGAGACCACGAGGGCCGAUCUCAGAAAUCGAAGAGGCACCUACUUUUCCAGCCUUGUCAGCACCUGUCACACGCACACUCAACUUUGUGGAAAUUAUGGGCAUUCUGUCGAAGAUUUCUGGCGAAGUAGAAAGCACAUGAAUCGUACUGUUCAAUCACCCACUUCCCACACGCAACAGUAGCUCAUGGGUACCACAGAUAACUUUGCCAAAGUUCUCUGACAAAGUUGAGACACGUGAAGUUUGCAGCUCCCACUACAUCGCUCUGACCAAGAAGGGUAAAAGAAUUGCAAAGAAACAACACUAACAAAGUUUAGACACAUAAAUUUUGAAGGUCUAGCUUCCAUAUUAUUACCCACAAGGGUAAAGGAAUAGUACCACUGCUGGAUAAUUGGAAUGUCCCGGUGUGUCAACCUCUGUGCUUCGUGGCAAGGUAGACUAGCAAACAUGCCCAACCUUUACUCACAUUCGAGAAAAACACUCCCAACAAGAUUGCUUGCUCCAAAAUCGAAGAGGCACCGCCCUCCGAAUCUCGAGAGCCAGACUCCUAACAUGAUUACUUUCUCAAAAAUCGAAGAGAGGGUAAAGGAACAGUACCACUGCUGGAUAAUUGGAAAGUCCCUGUGAGUCAACCUUUGUGCUUCGUGGCAAGGUAGACUAGCAAACAUGCCCAACCUUUACUCACAUUCGAGAAAACACUCCCAACAAGAUUGCUUGCUCCAAAAUCGAAGAGGCACCGCCCUUCGAAUCUCGAGAGCCAGACUCCCAACAUGAUUACUUUCUCAAAAAUCGAAGAGAUGGUAAAGGAACAGUACCACUGCUGGAUAAUUGGAAAGUCCCUGUGUGUCAACCUCUAUGCUUCGUGGCAAGGUAGACUAGCAAACAUGUCCAACCUUUACUCACAUUCGAGAGACACUCCCAACAAGAUUGCUUGCUCCAAAAUCGAAGAGGCACCGCCCUCCGAAUCUCGAGAGCCAGACUCCCAACAUGAUUACUUUCUCAAAAAUUGAAGAGACACCGCUCUCCGAAUCUCGAGAGCCAGACCCCCAGCAGGAUUGCUUUCUCAAAAAUCGAAGAGGCAUCGUUCUCCGAAUCUCGAGAGCCAGAUCCCCGACAGGAUAGCUUGUUCGAAAACCGAAGAGACACCAAUUUCCCAACUUCAAGAGCUGGAUCUCCUUGGAUAAAGCUUGUCUGUAAUCUUCACACGCAACAUCAGCUUUCCAGAUACCACGCACAGACCACUUUUUCAAAGUGCUCUGACAGAGUUAAAACAUGUGAAGCUGGCAGCUCCCACUACCGUGCUAUGACCAAGCAGGGUAAAGGAAUAACAUUAUUACUUGAUGUUAGGGAGACUCCUAUAUAUGUCGACCUCCAUCCCUAAUGGACAGGCAGACCAACAAAAAUGCUCAACCCUUUCUCUUAUCUGAGAGGGCACUCCCAACGAAGCCUUUCGAAAUAUUCAGCUUUCUUUCCCCCCGAUAAUACCUCUGUAAACAAGCUAUACUAGAGCAAGAAUAUCUCAUAUCAUCAGGGUUAAAAGCAAGAGUAUCCCAUAUCAUGCUUUUUCCCUGUCUUUUCCUUUGGCCUUGUUCUUACCUGCAAGACAAGGAGAAAGAGAGCAAUCAGUCAGCACUUGGAAUCAAGCUUCCAGCCAGGAACUGACUGCCUGGAACCCCUUACCUGAUUACUUACCUGGCAUUGCUCUCGAGUACUCAUCUUCAACAUCUUAUGCUUCCAGGGAAGAUACCGCAUCUGCCUGAGGAACAGAUAGGGCAAGUGAGAAUGAUACAAUGAAGCAUGUGGAGACAAGCGUAACAGCACACGUGCCGAUACAUCCACUACUUUGUCAAAAGCAAAAGUAUCCCAUAUCAGCAGGGUCGAACGUACUCUAGAUUUGAUGGACUUGUUUUGACCCUCAAAUUCUUCAGUCGACCUUAUACUCUGGAGGAAACCAGAAAACCCUCCAGCCCAGUUCAAGAAUAAGCCUGUGGAAAGUUACUUCUUCAAAAGCAAAAGUAUCCCAUAUCAUCUCUUCUCAUUUUUCUUCUCUUUAUCCUUCAUGCUGCCUGCAAGAUAGGGAGAAUGUGAACAAUCAGCCGGAGCUCUGAUUGCUUACCUUGUCUGUCACCUCUUUCAGCAGAUCCCCUAGCUCGGCGACUUGGGGGACUCCUACUACAUGGUUUGUAUCGCGCUUGACCAAGCAUGAAACUACAAGUAAGCUUCAAGUGAAAUUGAUACAUUACCUUGUGCAUCUCCACCAGUUACAGAUACCACCCCUGGAUGGAGGAAGAGUACUUCCAGAGAAGAUGCCACAUCUACCUAUGAGACAGAUAAGGCAAGUCAAGACGAUACCACAUUCCGGUACUUAGAAGUUUCGUGGCUACGAGAUCAUUCUCCCACAAUAUUUUCUAAUGUCAUUUGUACUAAAUCAUUCACUUGUACUCACUAAAGGAGAGCUUGAACCUAUGUACUUGUGUAAACCCUUCACAAUUAAUGAGAACUCCUCUAUUCCGUGGACGUAGUCAAUCUGGGUGAACCACGUACAUCUUGUGUUUGCUUUCCUAUCUCUAUCCAUUUAUAUACUUAUCCAACUAAUGACCGGAGCAAUCUAGCGAAGAUCACAAAAAGUGACCAUUUUCGCUACCUAGGAUCUAUCUUGCAAGAGAACGGAGAAUUAGAUGGAGAUCUCAACCAUAGAAUACAAGCUGGAUGGAUGAAGUGUAAGAGUGCAUCCGGCGUGUUGUGUGACCGUCGUAAGCCACUGAAGCUCAAGGGAAAAUUUUAUAGGACGGCAAUAAGGCCAGCGAUGCUGUAUGGCACAGAAUGUUAGGCGGUGAAGCAUCAACACGUACACAAAAUGGGUGUAGAGGAGAUGAGGAUACUUCGUGGGAUGUAUGGGCACACGAGAAAGGAUAAGAUUGGGAAUGAGGAUAUCCGAGGUAAAGUAGGAGUGGCCAAAAUUGAAGGAAAUAUGAGAGAAAAUCGGUUUCGGUGGUUUGGACAUGUGCAAAGAAGGCCUACUGACGCUCCGGUUCUAAAAUAUGACUACGGGACAGAGGUUCAGGGCUGAAGGGGUAGAGGAAGACCUAGGAAAACUUUGGAAGAGACCCUAAGAAAAGACUUGAGUACUUGGAUCUAACGGAGGACAUGACACAAAACCGAGCGCAAUGGCGUUCUAGGAUUCAUAUAGCCGACCCCACUUAGUGGGAAAAGGCUUUGUUGUUGUUGUUGUUGUUGUUGUUGGUGAUAAGGAAUUUUAUAUUGAUGCCAAGAGAAGACCACAAACUGAUUAGAAGUGAUCUAAGUCAGUUUGCAAUCUUCGUUAUGAAUGUAAAAGCAGUAAGUGGAACAAAACAGAAUAUAAGUCAAUGGAUGAAUGUAAAGAGCUGUAAAGACUUGCUGAACAUUAAUCAAAAGCAUAGUAAAUUGCAUAGAAAUAUAACAACUUGAAAAUAAACAAUUAAUAAAGUAAUCAGACAAAAUUAAACCUAUUCGGGCAAGUUUUACCUAGAGUCGGGCAAACUUGUCCACCGAUAGGGGAAGUGCUAGUAAAGAUAGAAAGCGUUUGUGGAAGAGAUUUUAAUACAAGAGAUUGAUAAUACAAAUAAUGAGAGCUAUAAAGGUAAAAGAGUGUCUGAAGUACAAAAGGAAUUUGUAAAAGUAGGCUUGCAGAACUUUGAGUAUGUUGAGUUAAGUGUCCCUUUCUUCUUCCUUUAUGCUCCCAUUUAUAGAACCGACUCUUCGUUCUAGAGUAAGCUUUUCUCUCUAAGUUCAUUCCCUCUAAUUUAAGUUACUGAUGUGAUUGUUGUUAGAUGAUGAGUUUUCCCUUGGUAAUUCGAGCUUUUAUCCUCUCAAAACUACGAGUUUGCAACUUUUUUCAAAAACUGGGCUGGGCACUAUUCAUUUUGCUGAGAACCCAUUAAACUUUUACACUUAAAUCCAGUGUUUCCGGAUCAACUAGAAUGUUGUUUUCAUGUCCUAGUAAAUAUAUGAAAUCUGAUCAAAUUGGAGAGGUAGAUAAGAUUGAGCAGCAAACCAAUUGCACUAGCACAAAAUUUUUAUCUCCAAAAGUAAUUAAAGUCUCAAAACAUAAAACUUCCAAUAGCUACUAUAGUUAACAAAACCGACCUAACUAAGACAACCAAAGCUCAAUAACCUGUAAUGAAAAUUAAUGGUCAAUAAUUUUUCUUAACUUUCCGACGUGGGACAACACUCCAUAUCCUCGUACUGUUGCACUGACUCUGCAAAAAGUGAUAAUCUUUGUGCUUAAAUUGGUAGUGAGAGUAGAGUUGCUAGUGAGAGUAGUUAUCGUAUAAAAGCGUAAUGUACAACUUCGACGAUGUAAAAAGGCUUUGUUGGUAAGAGUAGGUAUUGUGUUGGAGCGUAAUGUACAACAACUCCUAUGAAGUGAAAAAGUUUCCAACAAACGAAUGGGCCACCAUCCGUUUUGUUGUCGAGGGUUGACAAUUGGGUCGACAGUCUUUGGCCCAAAUUUUCUUCAUUCCCGCAAUGAACCUCUGUCGACUUUCAGCACCAUUACUGUACCUGUCACUCUCUCUCUCUCUCCCCGCCGCAGGGGGCAGCUCGCCGGUGUCGUCGCCCCUGUUUUCGACCCGAUAAAGGUAAGAGCUUUGGCCUUUGAUUUCCAUAUUGUUAAUUGUAUGUUAUUUUUUCCUUCCCAAUUGACAUAGUCCGAUUGUGUGGCUAAGAAGAAACACAGAUUCAUCUUUUUGUUAUCGUUUUUUAUAUAAAGAUUUCGGAAUUUAUACUGUGAAUGUGUGUGUGUGUGCGCGCGCGUGUAUGUGUGUGUGUGUGUGUAUAUAUAUAUAUAUAUAACUUGGUCAGAGGAGAAAUAAGCAAAACCCAGUUGCAUGCUGUUACCCAAUUUGUAUUUGCAAUCAAAGAUGGAAGCUUUUCUGAUGAAUUUUUACAGUUUAAUUAGCUAAAAAAGUGUUUAGUUUCAUUUUCUGUGUGGUGAUUUUUGUUUCUGUGGAUGUGUUUUGAUGGAUAGGAUGGUUUCAAUGACUAUUCCUCAAGGAAGAAACUUUGGGCUUCCAUUCAUGAACCUUGUCAGAUUAAAGGGAAUUCCCAUUCUCCAACAGCUUCAUUUAGAGGAGCAACUGCUUCGGACCUCGUCCGAUAAUUGGUGCAUUAUAAAUGAUGGAACUAAUGAUCCCGCUAUAGUCAUGGGUGUUUCGGGGUAAGAUGAGCUUCAACACUCCUUGUGACCUUGUUUAAGUUUGUUGGUUCUUUCCUUGACUACCAUUACCGAGCUAGUAGCAAACACGUAGAUGAUGUUGUCGUGAUCUGUCCAAGAUACGAGUGUCAUGCUUGGUCAAUCGUAGACAUAUUUUCCAAAUUACAUGAUUCUGGCUGUGCUCAUUCUCUUAGGUUUGUGAUUUUGUUAUUUAUUUAACUCCUUUUUUGUAUUGGAGAUUGUAAAGGAUCCGUGUGUGUUCUGCAUAGAAAACCUGCAGAGCUUCUUGAAAUUGAUUUGGUGUUACGAGACCAGAUUCCCGUCAUUAGAAGGUUUACUGGAGGUGGUACUGUUACUGUUGAUCAGAAUACCCUAUUUGUCACUUUCAUAUGCAACAAGGAUGCGGUUCCUGGCUUGCAACCAUAUCCUCGACCUAUAAUGUCGUGGAGUAGCCUAGUAUACAGCAAAGUGUUUGAAGGACUUGCUGAUUUUCAGCUUCGUGAAAACGGUACCUUAACUAACCUUUUCUAACAUUAUUGGUGCUUUAGGCUUAUAAGAUUAUGUGUUUGUUGUGUUUAUUACCCUGAUUUGUUUUCUUUUUCUUACCUCUUUUGUUUCUUGCUAUUUGGAUUCGAAUUUCUCGAUGCAAUUUGAGGUUCUUUAUUUGAUGUUUUCUGUGUGGUAUCAAAUGUUAGUUUUAUGUUUGGACUGUGCCCUAAUAACAUAAUUGGUCCUAUCGGAAUGUAGAUUAUGUAUUUGGUAACCGCAAGUUUGGUGGGAAUGCUCAAUCUAUUAGUAAAAACCGGUGGAUCCACCACACUUCCUUUCUAUGGGACUAUGAGGUUAGGAACAUGGCAUACCUGAAGCAUCCAAAACGGGUUCCUGAAUAUCGAUUGGUAUGUUAUGUGUAUCAAUGUGUGUUUCAAAUGUGCCUCAAAGAAAAUCUCUGAAUUUCACAGCUUAAAUAGCCUAUUAGUUUAUUGCUUGUCAUUGAGGCCUAUAUUUUGAUGCUAAUAUGCUAUCUAUUUCCUUUGCAGGCAAGAGACCAUUUAGAAUUCAUAUGCCACAUGAAAGACUACAUCCCAAGAUCAGUUUUUCUUGAGAAAACUGUUGAGGCAAUCGGAACCCAUUUCUCCGUGAGACCCGAACAGUCGGACACCAUUGAAGCUACCUCGAAUACGAAGUUUGUACCCUCAACUAGACUUUUGACAAGGCAGGAAUUAGAGGAAGCAGCAGCUUUUGAAUCUCAAGCUGAGAGAAAUCUCACUCAAUCAUUGUCAUUGUAAUGAAAGUGUGAAUGCUAAGAAAGACUCUUAAAAGUAGGACUCUCUGCCACCUUAUGUUUUUGACGCAAUGUUUUAUAAUGUUGGCACAAGAAUUGACGUUAAACUGUGAGGUAACACAAAGUCCAUGGAGCUUCACACUGUUGAGAGAGUCUAGUUAGCAUUUCUUUUUAUUAUUCAUUAACAAUUUUUCAAUAAAUGUAACCUUUUUUUUCAAUCAAAACAAAUGUUAUAUACCUUUUUGGACAAUGAAUUAUAUGUCAGUCCAUUUUUUUCUUGGGAAUUUGCAAUGCAAGUAAGUUUUUAAAUACAUGACCAUCGGAGAACUUCAGUACACUUGGGAUGCUAUUUUCGUUAUUACAAACUAAUCACGUAUUGCCACGUAGUAUCUCAACAUAAUCACAUAUUUCAUUAUGAAAUGCUAGUAAUGCGUGAUUGGCUUGGAAUAACGCGGUAUAUGCAAGUUUCUCAACUCGACCAGCCUACCAUGUUAACCGCAAAGAGAGCCAUGUAGGCUUUCUUGGUGGAGAAGCUUUUCGCAUUCCCAACCCAAGAUUUUUGUUGUUUUUUCCUCUUUUCAUUCUCGGUGCCACUGCAAACUCACAAAGCGCACCGUUCAUUACACCUCUCUCUCUCUCUCUUUCUCUCUCUCUCUCAACACACUCUGUCUCUCUCUGCCGCAGUAAAUUUCUGGUGGUGGUUCUGCAUAUUUUAACGACCGAAAUCACAGCUUGACCCGUCGUCUGCAAAUUCGUAAGCUUUCAAUCUUAACACCCCAUUUCCUUCCUUCCCUCCAUGUUACUCUGCUAUUACUUUUUCUGGCUUCCCCUGUAUUCGUUUUGAAUUUCCCUUUUACCAUAUUCAUAAAAAUGUCACCUUUUCACAUUGAUUUUUAAUAUUUCUCAUUUGGGUCCACGCUUUUGUGGAUUUUUAUUAAAUUUUUUGUUGUUGAUUUCGUGGAUUAUCAUCUUUUGGGAUUGCAGACAUUUGCUUGUAUUUGUCAUUAGGUGGUCGUUUUCUUUCUGGGAUUUUAAGGUUUCACGAGAUUGUCUGUUUCACGAGAUUGUCUGCUUUUGUGAUAAGUAGCCUCUGUUUUUCUGCACAAAACAAUUAAUUGUUCAGAAUUGGGGUGGAGUUUGUUUUUUUUGAAUAAAUGGUUAUCAAGUUCUGGUUCCUGGGAUGAAAGCUGCAUUUGGAGAAGUGCUUUUUGUUGUGUAAUUGAAGUGAGUCAAUGUGCAUUUCAACAAGAAACAAGAGUAUUGAGAAAUUUUCGCAGUUGCGCUUCGUAAGAUUUUCGAGGGGUUUGCUUGUUGGAUUGCAGGAUGGGAAGGGUUAAGUUAAAGAUAAAGAAACUAGAGAGCAGUGGGAACCGGCAGGUUACGUUUUCAAAACGGAGAAAUGGGAUCUUGAAGAAAGCUAAGGAGUUAUCAAUCUUAUGUGAUGUAGAUAUUGUCCUUCUCAUGUUUUCCCCCACUGGAAGGCCUACAUUAUUCCAAGGGGAGCGCAGGUAUUGUAAGCGGAAAGUUUACAUUCGUUCUUUGAUCACGAUUUUGCAGACAACCUAGCAGUAAACUUUCUAUAUCAUAUGCUAAUAUAGCUCCUUUGCUUUCAUGAUAAUUUUUCAGUAAUAUUGAAGAGAUUAUUUCAAAGUUUGCGCAAUUAACUCCGCAGGAGAGGGCAAAGAGGUACUACAGUACUUGCAACGAGAUUCUGACUUUCUCAUUUUCUAGCUGAUUUAGUUUGGAUGGCAUUACAGCUAACUAUUUGUCCAUUUGUCUUAACAGGAAAUUGGAGAGCCUUGAAGUAAGACUUUCACAAAUAGCAUUUCAAACGGGAACAUUUGUUUCUCUUGCUUUUGUUGUAUCAAACGAAAACUAACUUAUGUCACUUCAUCCAUUCUAUACUUGUAUUUUGGUGGUCUUUUUGUGGAUAUAGGUACUGAAGAAAACUUUUAAGAAGUUGGAUCAUGACGUUAACGUACAAGAUUUCAUGAGUUCAAGGUAUGUGAUUGUUUUUAUAUAAUUUGUCAUUUCCUUUGAGUGAAACCUACGGGGAUAUCUGAUGUGGCCCUUUUCUUAAUGUUCUUUUUCCCUUCUGUUUCUUGCAGCUCUCAGACGGUUCAGGUAUAUAUUCUUUACCACCAAUACCAAUACCAAUUAUAAAUGCUUUUCGAUUUCUUAGUUUAAUUACGACGACUAAUGUUUUGUGAUAAUUUGCUAUUGGCAGGAUCUGACUCAUCAAGUAAUGGUAUUGCAAGCCCAACUUACAGAACUCCAUAGGAGACUGAGGUGCACCUUUGGAGCUUUUGGUUGUUAAAGUAUUGCCUUGUCUUUUUGGUCUUGAUGGUCAAAUUACUAGCAUAUUACAUUGUGUAUUUUAGACAAUGUAAAUUUGAUAUUAGGGCAUUUCAAAGUAUGAACUUGAUAUGAUAAAGGAAACAAAUAAGCAAAAGUGGUUUAAGUUGCUUACGAGUGUAGUUUAGGGAUUCACUGCCCAAUUUGGGGGUCAAUUUGAGUCUUAUUUGUGAUUUUCAUGUCAUGGGUUGAGUUGCACAUGCUGUAUCCUAAUAGCAACCAAUAUGUAGUAUUCAACGGGUUGGCUAGUACGCAGAUAACUUGAUGUGUUGGACCUUAGCCACCCUAAGAAAAUUGUAUAAAAACUCUUUUUUCUUUAAUUUUCUUGUGUGUUCUUGGUUAUAUUAUUUUUCUCUUGACCUGUUUUCCUAUUAAAAUUUUCAUUGAAUUUACAAAUGAAUAUCGGAUUCCAAUAUGUAUUGAUCAGUAAGAUAAAUGCAUAUAAAGAAUCCAUGUGAUAAUCAAGCUGUUGCCACUUUUUCAGCUUAUGGAGUGACCCAGAUAAGGUUGACAAUCUUGAACAGCUUCGGCAGAUGGAAGACAUGCUUAAGGAAUCAAUCAACCGAACACGUCUGCAUAAGGUAUCAUUUUGUUUUUCAAGUUACAGUAGUUGCACAAUAAAUUCUAAGGCUUAUGCUGUGAAAGAAGAAACAACGAGGGCUUUACAGUUUUGUAUACCAAACAGCUGAAAAGUAAUGAUGAAGUAUGAACAGUGAUAUAUGGCUUUGGUUGAUUUUGGUGUCAUGGUGAGUUUAAGAAGCCAUGACUUACCUGAUCCGCCUACGCUGCUACUUUGUCUACCUGCUUUGAUAGCAACUUAUGAGGGGGUGGCUACUGAAUCGAUGCUAAUAUUUGAUAACUAAACUUGUUAGGAAAAUUUGGGAAAACACCAACUAACAUCACUAGAUUGCACAAAUCAGGUAAUAUAUACUUUAGCUGAUGAAGAAUUAAUUCUCUCUCUCUCUCUCUCUCUCUCUCUCUCUCUCUCUCACAUCUAAUCUGAAGCUUUAUUUUUGUGUAUCAAAGUUUCAAAAUGGAAUGCCUUCGUCUUUCUUAGUUGGUGGUUCGCAAGAAGCUCAACCUAUAACUUGGCUUUUCAAUAGCGACAAUCAGCACAUGAUAUUACCGAAUGAGCAGAACUAUCUGCCACAUAGGUUAGUUUACUGCUGUUAUGCAUCUACCAUUGGAUAUGCCAAAGAGCCUAAUGCCUGAGAACUUUCUUUCUGAUAAAUUACUGAUGCUAUGAUUCUCUCUCUCUCUCUCUCUAGAGGUGUGGAGUGCUCAACAAAUACCACAGUUCCACAUUAUAUUCGUUACUUUGGCACUGGGACUAGCACUAGCUCUAGCACCGGAAAACAAUCUGAGGCUGGUGAUCCAUUACAGCUAGAUACUAUGGGACAAAUUUCUAAUAUGGAAGGAGGCGGUGGCUUCAAUGAGUUUGACAUUAAUGCUUGUUUAAGUACGGAAUCUGGUGAGCAUUAUGCGUAUCCAACAUAUUGUAGUUCUAAUGUGCCAGACGAUAAGAAAGUGAAGCCGGAGAAUGAAAUGAACGUACCAGCAAAUCCAGUGGAUUAUCAACUAAGUAGCAACUUUGAACUGCCAAGAUCCUUGUAUGAAAAUGAUCAUCAUGCUUGGCUUUCUUCGCCUGGCCCUAGCGGCAUUGCUGUGUACAAGGAGAAUACCUACCAGCCGGUGAGCAUUCCUUCCAUCGAUGUUUUUCAUUCUGUUUUGGCAAGCUAUGAAAUAACGGAUAAAUUAUUGGUCUUUGUAUAUUAUCAUUCCAUUGAUGCCUUGCGGCUCUUUGUUUUCGUAUCUUGUAGCAACCAAACGUGAGAUUGUAGCUGACAAAAUCAGGGAAGGAUUUACAGGCGCCACGCACCGUGCAAAUGAUGUGAGUUGUGAAAUGUUAACAGUUAUCUAAGAUAUGUAUUGAUGCUAAUAGGCUACUUGGGGCAUAGAUUAAAUCUGUAUAUAUACUGUACAAGACAUAUAGGAUCAGAGUUCAUCUGUAUACUAACAUGGUUGGGUUCCUUAGAGCAACCACCACUUUUGUAAAUUAUUACUCAUAGAAAAUGAAAGCAAACAUGAUGGAUUUCUUGAGCUAUUUUUGUGAUUUAUAUUAUGUUAGCACACAAACGAGCAAUUUCUAAUCCAGCGAGUCUUGGCAACGGAAAGGUGGUUCCUUUGUGAUCAAAAGGUUACGGGUUCAAGUCGUGGAAACAACCUCUUUGCAAAGCAAGGUUAAGGCUGCGUAGGAUAGAUGUUCCUCCCCCGACCUUCGCAAAGUGGGGAGCCUUGUUGGCUUAGGGUCGCUCUCUUAAACACAAUUAAGCAAUUUCUAAUCCAGUCUAAAUUACGAGGAAGGAGAUUUGAACUUGGGUGUAGAUGGAGCACACGUUUAACGAUAAUGAUAAUAUUCACCGCCACCAUGGUUCCUGUACACUGGUAAAACCUUUGUCUACAUUGAUGCUCACCUUCCCAAUCACUCAAAGACCAUUAAUUCAUUGUUACAAACUAAAUAAAAACAGAUCUUCCAUCUUUUCUGCUUUUGCAAUCGAUCUAGGAGCCGCUUAGGGUUUGGACAAUGGUGUUGUGCCAUGGAUCUGAGAGGUGCUGCAACAGGUUGUCGAACGGCCCCUUUCCGGUCACAUUGUGUUGAACCACAAACCCGAGGAAGGCCAACAUUGCCAGUCUCCCUGCAUAACACAUUUCAAACAACAUAUUAGACCUUGUUUCAAACAUAAAAGCAAACGUGGGUUAGGCUAGUUGGUCAGGGCAGUGUGCGCCCCUUGGUAGUGACAUCAAAUGCUUACCAUUGGCAAGUUCCUUCUCCUUGGCCUCGAGAGUGGGUUCGAAGUUGAGGGGGUUGAAGAUGCCACCUGGGUAGCCCACCUCACCUGGGGGCAAGCUGUAUUGCUUGAAGAUGGGGUCUUGGUUCACACUUCCCGGGUUCUUGAUGUCUUGCCACCGUCUGAUCUCGACGUAGUGGAACAAGAUGAACUCGAUCACGAAGAGGGUGGACGAAGAAGCGAAGUACUCGGCCUUUCCGGCAUCAUACCAUUUGGGAACGUUAAGGAUCCCAAUGCUGGUGAACACUUCAGGCAAUAGCAUCCCAACAACGCCCAACAUUGCCCAUCUGCCAUUGACAAGCUCAGCUUGGAUAUACCACCUUAAGUUCUCUGGGUCCUCAGCAAGUGCCAGAGGAUCAAAUCCAUUGUCACCAGGAAGGCUGCCCACAAAAACAUAUCUUAGUCAAUCAAUGUUUUUUCCCCAGUCGAAACAUUUGUAGGACUUUUUUGUCGGUCAUCUAAAAAGGUCGUCGUGCACUCUUUUAAAAAAAUUAAGUUGUAAUUGGAGAUGUGUAUUAUGGUUAUUUUAGAGUGUGAAUAAUAAUAUUGUUAGUGUAAACGUGAAAUUUUUAACAUACCUGCCGGUGAG